rnacentral:lncRNA from 1 species
GCUCGCGUUCGACUCGUGUUCGGCUCGAUAUUCGGCUCGCUCGAGCUCGACUCGAAAUUAAAUGAGCCGAGCUUGAACAAAAUAAAAGGCUCGAAAUUUAUUUCAAGCCGAGCUUGAAUAUUACUCGGCUCGUUCGAAUUAGGCUCGAAAAGCUCGAAAAGCUCGAAAAUAUAUAUAUAUAGGCUGGGACUACUAUACUCUUAUAAGUAUAGACCCCUUUGUACUCAUAAAUUUUUAACCGUUGAUUGAUGAGAUGUGUGGUUAGGAUGAUGGUGGUCUCCACUUAGAAUGAUAGUGGUCCCCUAGGGUUGAGUGGGUAGUUGGUUAAAUAGUAUGAUCUAACGGAUGAAAAUGAUUAAUGGAAUAAAUCUAAGGGUCGAAAACUUAUGCCACCGUUUGGUUGGGGGUUAAGGGGUGGAAUAACCCCUUAACCCCCAAUUUAUACCCAAACACCACUCUUUUGGGGUGGGGUUAGUAAACCCCACCCCAAACCGGGUUAGUGAGGUUUACGAACCCCACUCCCCCUCCCAACUUUAACCCCGCACGCAUCCCGAGCCCUCACUUUUUUCUUCUUUAUCAAUCAUUAACCCCACUCCCCUCCCAAUUUUAACCCCGCACGCAUCCCGAGCUUUCACCUUUUUCUUCUUUAUCAAUCAUUAUCUUCUUAUCCCACCUACUCCAACCAAACACUUUUUUUCACUAUCUUAGACUAACUCCAACCUCCAACCAAACACAAAAAAAUUUUAACACCAUAUAACCCUGAACUUAAGCCUAUCCCUGGAAUAGCUACUUUUUCUUAACCCCGAACCAAACGGGGGCUAUGAUAUAUACAUAUAUAUAUACAUAUACAUAUAUAUGUAUAUACAUAUAUAUAUGUAUAUAUAUAUAUAUCUCAGACCAAUGAUAUAAAAAUACUCAUAACCGAGGAAAUAUGAGUAUUCAAAAGCUGGGAAUCUAAAUAAGGUAAUUAGUAAAAGUAGGCAAUCUAGUAUGAUAAAUUGGUUGAUGGGUUAAUUGGGAUCUCCUGGUGAAAGUAAAAUUCAUCCCUGGCGGUAGUAGGAUUGGUGUGUAGGGUAGUUAGUAUACUCAUAUUCCCCCAGAUAUGAGUAUUCUCAUAUCAUCGGAGUCGGAUACAUAUAUCUCUACACAUAUUCUCUGAUAUAUAUAUCUCAGGCCGAUGAUAUGAAAAUAUUCAUAACCGAGGAAAUAUGNUUAUAGUAGUAGUGAUCAGCAGGAGAGUAGUGGCGCGAAUCUUGUCCUGCUCAGCGGGUGGUCCAUUUUAUUUUAUUUGAAAAAAUUAUAACACUAAUAAUCUCAUAAUAUUGAAUAAUAUAAAAGCAAGUAAGAGACUUAUAUAGUUUAUUUGUGACUUGUAACUAUUAAAUUAGUAAAUAAAUUUUAUUAUGUCAGGCUUUUUAUUUGAAUAAUUAUUUAAUACUUUUUAUUUGAAUAAUUAUUAUUUAAUACUUUAAAUUUAUUUUUUAAUAAAUUUAGGUUGGCUAUGGGUAACGUGUUGGGACCGCAAGAAGCUUUUGGAAACAAAGAAUUGUCCGAGGAUAGGUAGAGAAUCCGGCAAAUGCAAGUAGGGCUGGCAAACGAGCGAGCCGGCUCGCGUUCGACUCGUGUUCGGCUCGAUAUUUGGCUCGCUCGAGCUCGGCUCGUUUCCACCCCUAAANUAAGCUCGCUCGAGCUCGGCUCGUUUCCACCCCUAAAUGCAAGUGGGAGAGAGAGAGACUAGAGAGAUAACAAAUUUUUUUUUUUUUUUUUAAAAAAAUCUAUGAUAUUGAUAGACCUCUCUUUCAUGCGUUUUCACGUGGAUCCGCCAAGGCGCAAUUUCCAAAUGUUCAUGUCAUAGAUCUCGACGUGGAGAUGCAUACAUAUUAAUAUUGAAGAAUAAUGCUUUGGCCCACAAUUUGUAUUCCACUACAUUAUUAAUAUAUAUAUAAACAUAAACUAGUACUCACAGGUAUUAGUGUAAAACGGGCCGGGUAGCACGUCGGCCGCCUGGCCCGUCACGACCUAGCAUGGCACGGCUGCUGUCGCAUUCGCGCCGGGCCGGUUCGACCCGGCUUUUCGGGCUGUGCUGGGCUGAACAUUCGUGGUCCAAAGGCCAAGCACGGUACGGACCAGUGUCAGGCCUGGACAUGAUGGACAGGAAGGUGGGCCGGGUGGCCUGCAUGGUGUGGGCCGUUUCUACUGGGCCGGCGAGGCCCAGGUAUUAAUAAGGGGAAUUAGGCCUGUAGGCCUUUUAGGCCUGCCUUAGACAGGCCUAUUUGGCCAGGCUUUAUUAAGCCUAUACAAAUCUUAGGCCGGGCUCCUAGGAGCCUAGGAACCAGGCCUUAACCCAAGUCAAAAGAUCUGCUAAGUCCAAGGGUUUGCGAGACCCUUGGAUGGUUGCCCAACAGCUGUUGAGCCGUUGAAAUUUUUUUUUUUGAAAAAAAAAAAAUACUUUUUUGGCUUUUGAAAGAAUAAAAAAAUAAAAAAAGACAUCUUUUUGGUUAAAAUGACUGAAAUGGCAACACUAACAUUUAAAAAUUGACCGUUAGAGAGGGCAUUUUGGACAAACACUAUUUUUUUAUAUUUAAAAAAAUUAAUUUUUUUACAUCUAUAAAUACUCUUAUAAAUCUCCAAAUUCAUCACAACAAACAUGCUUCAUUCAUUUUCUUCUACAAACACUAAUUCUCUCUCAAACUUUCAAACGACCACUAAUUCUUUCUCUAAUGUAAUGAAGAAAAAAUUAUGUUCGAUUUUUUUUUUUUUUCCUAUUGUUUACUAGCUGGCUGUGUAAACCAUGCCACCUUAUUUUCUUAAUAUAUAUUUUUAAUUUUUAAUUUUUUUAACUUUCCUCAAAUGUAACUAUGUAAUAUGAUUAAUUCAAAAUCUAUAUAUUUUUCGCCAUUACUUUUUUUGAGAAUAUCAAAUUCUUUUCAAAUAAUAAAAAAAUAUGAAAAAAAUAAUAUCAAUUUUAUAUUAAAGUUGGUUAUUAGAUCAAAGAGAUGGAAGUUAAAAAAUUUAUAUCAAAAAUCUAUAUAAUUGANUGGAUCAAACAAAUGUAAAUUAAAAUAUUUAUAUUAAAAAUCUAUAAAAGUGAAAGUGAAAAUUAUUUAUCUCUAAGUUCUAAAUUUUAUAUAAUAUUAAAAAUUUAAAUUUAUUGUUAGUAUUAACUUAUAAUUUAAAAAUUAGUUGUCUCUAUUUCUAAAAAAAUAUUUUUUUUUAAAAAAAAUAUAAAAGAGAUAGUUGGGAAGGAAUUUAAAAAAACUUUUUACUAGACUAGCAUGAAGCCCGGCCCGGCCUGGCCCGGCCUGGCCUGUGCCGGGUGGGCCUGGGAGCCGGGCCGGGCCUUCUUCUCUGAGAAAAUAUGCCAGCACGACCCAAUCCGAUUUUAUAACCGGGUCAGGCCCGGCCGACCCUUGACCUGAAUCGGCCCGAGUAAUAUGGGCCAUGACAGCUCAACGAGGCCCACAUUACACCCCUACCCAUAGGUAGGGGGUUUAAAAUUUCAAUUUCUCAUAAUACAAAUUUUACUAUAUUAUUGAUGUGUUAUUAUUUUUACAUAAAAAAUAUAAAAUAUAAAAUUAAUCAUAAUUUUUAGAAUUUAAUUAUUAUGUUUAAGAGUCACGAACUCACCACAUCAACAAUAGCACGGGAACCAUAAUGUGGAAACUCCACUGAUUUAAGCAAAUAUAACUGUGAACCCCUCCGUACGGUAGUCACUUCCAGAAACAAGGGGUUGAUUGAAGCGAACUUCUUACUGAGCCCCUCUAACAAAUGAAAAUAAUGCUUUACAUCCGAGCAAACAGUGGAACGCCAUUCAUUUUUGGCUAUUCUAUUUAGGAAAAACUGGUACCUUCUUUAAAUGUAAUUGUAGUUAUAAUUAACUCGAUCACCGUCACAGCAAUACGAGUGUAAUUGUUCUAUCAAUACAGCAUUAUUUUCAUUUGUUCAGAGAAAUGCAAAAGGCUCAAUCACAUUUGCGGCCAAGUUGCACAUAGAUAAAGCUAUAGCUUCGAUUGUAAUCUCGAGAACGCGACUUGUACCAAAUCCUUCCUCAAUGUCUUCCCUGAAGCAUUCUUAGGUAUUGAUUCAACGAAAAUGGCACGGCGAAUCUUUUUGUAUGGUGCAACCUGCAACAUUAUGAGGAAGAUAUUGGAUCUUGCGCCUCGAGCUCUUGUGAGGAGGAGCUUAACUGAAUUAAGUUGGACUACACAUCAAAUAUGAAUAUACAUAAACGACAGGUAUUCAUAUACCUGUUGAGAUACAAAUUCCGUGACUUGUGCCUCAUUCAGCGUGCUGUUGGGUUGUCUUACAACAAAGGCUAUGGGGACUUGACCUGCAUUUUCAUCCGGAUAUCUGCCAAAAAAAGCAAUUAGAGAACUUGGUACUUGUUUGGCUCUUUUCUAAAAUUUUGUUUUGGUUUUUCUUUAAGUUCUGUAUCUGUAAAAGCAUCUGAUAUGAGACUAUUUGGUUUUCUUUUCUUUUUCUUUUUUUUGAGAGAGAAAGAUAGCAUGCUAUCCGUUUCGUUUAUUUUAUUUAGAAAUAAACUUAGCUGAAAAUGUGAAUCAACUAGGAUUCGAACUUAGAUCUCGGGUACCAACCAUCAAGCCCUUUUGCCAUUUGCACUAGGGACGGUCGGUCUAUUUGGUUUUCUUAUUGUUUCUUUAAUUUGAAACCCAUCUCACAAUAAAAAAGAAAAAAAAAUAGUACUAUACAUGUUUUUGUCUAUUUGUUGUCAAAAUAAAAACACGUAUAUAUAGAGCAUGUAGACAAUCACACAAAUAGAGGGGGAAAAAAAGAAAAUUGUAAAUAAUGAUAAACUUGCAUUUAAGGAUUGGUGGGUGAACCUACAAUUUAUCUUUAAUUAAAAAGCUUGUCUAUUUUUUUUGCCUAGUGUACUCACGGAAUAACUGCAGCCUCAGUGAUUUCUGGGUGAGUUUGAAGUAAGUGCUCGAGUUCUGCAGGGGGAACCUGCACCAAAGUAAUAUCUCAAGAAUAUACGACAAAAUUUAAAUGCAAAGCAAAAUAUUCCAUGAACUAUGCUUGAAUCAAUAGAUUAGUAGGACUAAGAAAAUCAACUGAUCUACUUAGCAUAGCAGUUUCCCAGAUCUGUAAUCAAAAGUUAGCAUAUAGCCACUUGAGAACUUGUAAUUAAUGGUAAGUAAUACAGUAGGCGCAUUUUAUGCAUUGCAGAUACAUCCUUUCAAGAUCAUAGGUGAUUUAGCAUUCUUAAAAGGUUGUUCUAGUCAUCUGAUCAACAAAUUCAGAAUAUUAUACGAGCUCCUGAAAUAAGCCCUGCAGUCGAUAAGCCUCAUGAUGGAAAUACAGAACCAGUUCUAAUUUACAGGUCAUAAGCAGUCAACGAACCUCAUGUAAAGCUUAAUCAUCUAGUAAACUAGAAAACCUUGAAACUGGGUUAUAUAGCAUCAGUUUGGUACGUGAUGAUGUAUGCAUAAUUGGCGUGAUUUACGAAUCAAAUGCACAAAAAGCUGAUGAUUUUGUAUCAGUUUGGUUUAUCACACGUUUCAUAACAAGGAAGAUUCAAGCAGUAGUUACCUGGUAUCCCUUAUAUUUUAUCAACUCUUUUAACCUAUCAAGAAUGAAGAGGAAUCCAUCGUCAUCGAUGUAGCAGAGGUCCCCAGUUUUGAACCAUCCUUCGGAGUUCAGAAUUUCAGAGGUUGAUCUCUCGUCACCAAUGUAACCUACACUAAUGUAAUAAAUAGAAAUGACUUCAGCAUAAUAUUUAUCAAGCGCCACAAAUAUGUAGAGAUAGAGCUAGUGGGUCAGUUUAUGACAGUUCAAAGUAAAAUCCCCAAUUUGACAGACUAAAAUAACUUUUUCUUCUUUUUUUUACCUACACUAAUGUAAUAAAUAGAAAUGACUUCAGCAUAAUAUUUAUCAAGCGCCACAAAUAUGUAGAGAUAGAGCUAGUGGGUCAGUUUAUGACAGUUCAAAGUAAAAUCCCCAAUUUGACAGACUAAAAUAACUUUUUCUUUUUUUUUUUUUUUGAGAGAUAGGUAGCACGCUAGCCGUUUCGUUUAUUUUAUUUAGAAAUAAACUUAGCUAAAAAUGUGAAUCAACUAGGAUUCGACCUUGGGUCUGGAGUACCAACCACCAAACCCUUUGCCAAUUGCUCUACGGACGGUCGGUCAGACUAAAAUAACUUAAAUAAAAAAUAGUUCACAGCAGGUAUCAACUAAAUUAAUAAGAUUCGGGGAGUUUCCAUACGCUUUUACCAAAGUGACUAAACACUCUAAACUUGACUCAACAGCUGAAUUGUAUCUACGUCAAUACAAAAUUAAACAUACACACACACUAAAAUGGAAGUAAAGUUGCUUACCCUGCAUAAUUAAUGGUCCUCGAAUCCAAAGCUCCCCUCGAGCGCCUGGAGGCAAAGCAAUUCCAGUGCCCGAAUCGACAAUCUUUGCUUCGCAGCCCCACACGAGACGUCCGACAGAACCGAUACGUUGGCUUGCUUCCUCACCAUGAAACCGGAAAACACCGGUCGUUGUCUCGGUCAAUCCGUAUCCCUUCACACCCACUAGAAUUUAUCACUAUAAAGACUUAGAAUGAAAGUAAAAUCCAACCCGCGCUUUUGGUUUGGUUCGGCGGUUGCACAUGCUUUUUCGCACAGCUCUAGUUACUCUGGGAUGUUUGGCUCAGCCUAUUCGACUAGAAUAAUCAAACAGAGCUAGAAAAAGGAGUAGGACCGAUGGAUUACUCGUACAUAUGCCUAAUCCCGAAAAAGGAGGGAGCAAAGGGCGCCAACGACUUUAGACCUAUUAGUCUUAUUAACGGAGCACAGAAGAUCACUUCCAAAGUUCUCACUAAUAGGCUUGAGGGGGUGCUAAAAGAUAUUAUAUCACCUACUCAAACAGCAUUCCUAAAAGGUAGAUCGAUUCUGGACUCCUUCGUAACAGCAAGUGAGGUUGUUAAUUGGUGCUAUAAAACGCAGGGGGAAUGUGUAGGCAUAAAAGCUGACUUUGAGAAGGCUUACGACAGAGUAUGCUGGGGAUUUCUCCGAAAAAUCAUGAUAUGGCUGGGGGCAAAUCAGCGUUCGUGCGGUUGGAUUGACCAAUGUAUUGCCAACGCCAAAAUUGCUAUCCUUGUUAAUGGGGUUCCAUCCAAGUGGAUAAAAACCAAAAGAGGACUACGUCAAGGGGACCCGCUCUCUCCGUGCCUCUUUAUUCUGGUUGCGGAAGGUUUAGCGAGAUUGAUAAAUAAAGCGGUCAAAAGUCACUUGAUAAGAGGAGUGGGACCUAACAGCGAAUCUAAGGUUGCGUUUAUCCAGUAUGCUGAUGAUACAGUAUUCUUUUGCGAAGCACACAGCAAACAAGUACGGAACCUACUCUUUGUCUGGCAUAUUUUCGAGCGGUCAUCGGGGUUAAAGAUCAACAGGAGUAAGUCAGAGCUUUUUUAUUUAGGCAGGACGGCCCACCGGGGAGAGCGGUUUGCUCAGAUUUUAGGUUGUAAAUUGAGUUCUUUCCCGAUACGAUACCUUGGACUUCCCCUCAAGAAUAGUCGACUCAACAAAGCGGACUGGUGGCCUAUCAUUAGUAGAAUCGAGAAAAGGAUUGAAGGAUGGCAAGCAAACCUUUUGUCGGUCGGUGGAAGAUUGACACUAGUAAAUUCUGUCCUCUCAAAUCUAACUAUGUAUUUUUUUCUCGGUGUUGAAAGCGCCGAAAUGGGUCAUAAAGCGCAUAGAAGCACUUAGGAGGGCCUUCUUUUGGAAAGGAAGGAGCAGUGUGUCUGGCGGACAUUGUUUAGUGAAUUGGAAAACGGUUUGUCGAAGCAAAAAAGAGGGGGGCCUAGGAGUCAUGGCCCUUGAGACCAUGAACAUAGCCUUAUUAGCAAAGUGGCGGUGGAGAAUGUUAUCCGAUAACGGCUCGCAAUUGGGCAAUUUUAUUCGGAGUGCCUACUAUGUUAGAAGAACACCCCUUAGGGAAGGGGGUCUCUUUUCGACCUUCUUCCCAAUGGUGGCAGAGUGUGCUAAAGACAAGGGACAUCUUCAGGUGUGGUUUAUCUUUUACGAUAGGGGACGGCAACAAUGUCGGUUUCUGGACAGAUAAAUGGAUUGGUGAAAUGCCCCUGCAGUCACUCUUCCCUCGUAUCUUUAACGACAUAACAUCGCGAAUCCUUAAGGUCAGACAGUGCUUCGGGAGAAAUGGUUGGAGGUGGCACAAGAUUCUGCAAGGUUUCGCUCCGGAAUCUCAAAAUGAUAGUGCAUCAUUACUGGAGUUGAGGGAACUAGUAGAUACCCUCCUGUUGACGGAUAACAGAGACGUAGCCAGAUGGAGAUGGACUGCAACAGAAAUUUUCACAGUUAAAUCUCUGUAUACUUUCUUGCAGGAUGGCAGCGGACAUGAACGAAGGUUCGUUCAAUUGUGGAAGAUCAAAACGCCUCUGAAAGUUAAAAUCUUCGGGUGGCUAGUACUAAAGCAUAGGGUACUAACGAGAGAUAAUAUGGCCAUGAGGGGAUGGUCUGGAGAGUUGAGCUGAUCGUUCUGUUCAGAAGAUCCAGAGACAGUUGACCAUCUGUUUGCUGCAUGCAGUUUCUCACGAGACUUGUUCGGGUGCUUCAUGCCCAAUAAGCGCUUCGUCAAUACGUGUGCUUCAACCGACUUGAUCUGGAACACUUAUAGCGCUACGUGGGGUAAUGUACGGAGAAGGGAUCUAUCGACCAUUAUUACCGUGUGGUGGGCUGUGUGGUGGGAUAUUUGGUUGGAACGGAACAGGAGAAUAUUCGAAGAUAAGAAAACUCCACUGAGGCAACUAGUGUUGGACGUUCGAUCUUUUAGAAGGGUUUGGGAUCUACAUUGCAUCUAGUUUUUUCUUUUUUUUUUCUUUUUUUUUUCUUUUUUCCCUCCGGAAGUCUAGCUGCUUCAUCUAUGCUUAAUUCACCUCCCUAUUAAAUGAAGCGGUAGCAUGCUAUCUUUCUCUCACAGAAANGUUUAAAAAUAAAAAACUAUUACCUCCUCAACUAGUGAGGAUAUUUUGAAAUUGGCCCAUUACUCUUUUUUUCUUUACUUGAUUUUUUUUCGAAAUGAAAUAAUUUUAGUCGAUUAAAUCCAUAAAUAAUUUAUUUCGGUGCAACUAAAUUUAGAAAUUUUAUUGCAAAUAAUAUUGAAACAAAGUCACUAGAUUUAAUGACAAUUGUUUAAAGUCAAAAAAAUUAGAAGCUAAGAAAAUACAACUAAUAAAAGUAAAAAAAAAAAAAAAAAAAAAAAAAAAAGGGGCUAGAAUUUCCAAAUUUGAAGGAAAACAGAAUAAGACAACAGUAGUAACCUGGGUGAGGCGUGCAUUGGGAAAGCUCGCCAAGAACCGCCGGAUCAAAUCGGUCCCGAUCGGCGCCCCGCUGCAGGUCACCACGGCCAGCGAGCUCACGUCGCCCACCGAUGCCGCGCCCGCGCACCCAGCCUCUCGAAAUUUCACCAGCGCCAGCACGGCCGGCGGCGCCAAUGCGAGAUGCGUCAGCCGGAAGCGCGCGACGGCCUUCAGCGUCCGCUUGGCGUCGAACCUCUCCGUCUGAAUCACCGCCGUCUCCCCGACCGCCGCCGCCUUGAGGCAGAAAGCGAAGCCGUAGGCGUGGAAGAGCGGGACCGUCAGCAGCAUUCUAGCCGCCGGUGCAGCAGCAGCAGCCGACGCGGCCGCUGCCAGCGGCGCCGUGGCCGCUAUCAGGUUGCGGUGGGUGAGCAAAACGCCCUUCACCCGCCCCGUCGUCCCCGAGGAGUAGAGGAUCGCCGCGGAGUCCGAUUGGCGGAUCACAACGGCCUCCACUGUGGGAUAAGAUUCGGAGAUUUGCAAGAAGGAUCGGAAUCGGGGGGAGUCGAGGAGGAUGGUGGGGAGGUUGGACGGUAGCUUGUGGGCGGUGGAGGAGGUGCCAUUGGCGGCGUCGAUGAGAGCGGGGUGGGAGGGGAGGGGGGAAGAAGGGAGGAAGGAGAAGGCGAAGGAGGGGAAGGAGAGGGGGAGGGAAGGUGGAGGGAGGGGGACGGCGGGGCGGAGGCUGUGGAAGGUCGUCGUCGCCGCGCAGAAGCCGCUGCGAGGGUCGACGUCCGGCGGAGACUGUGGUGGUGGUGGUGGUGGUGCUUCGGCGGCCAUUGAUGGAGUUGAGCUUGAUUACGACGCAGAGGAUCAACGUCGACGGUGAAUUAUAGUAGUAGUGAUCAGCAGGAGAAUAGUGGCGCGAAUCUUGUCCUGCUCAGCGGGUGGUCCAUUUUAUUUUAUUUGAAAAAAUUAUAACACUAAUAAUCUCAUAAUAUUGAAUAAUAUAAAAGCAAGUAAGAGACUUAUAUAGUUUAUUUGUGACUUGUAACUAUUAAAUUAGUAAAUAAAUUUUAUUAUGUCAGGCUUUUUAUUUGAAUAAUUAUUUAAUACUUUUUAUUUGAAUAANGGGGAGAGGAUGAAGGCGACGUCGCCUUUGGACACGGCGCCGGAGGAGCGGAGCGCGGCGGCGAGGGAGCGGAUUUGAGAGAGCAGCUCCGGGUAGGAGAUGGCGUCGCCAUUGGCGGCGUCGAUGAGAGCGGGGUGGGAGGGGAGGGGGGAAGAAGGGAGGAAGGAGAAGGCGAAGGAGGGGAAGGAGAGGGGGAGGGAAGGGGGAGGGAGGGGGACGGUGGGGCGGAGGCUGUGGAAGGUCCUCGUCGCUGCGCAGAAGCCGCUGCGUGGGUCGACGUCCGGCGGAGACUGCGGUGGUGGUGCUGCUUCGGCCGCCAUGGGAGAGAAGAAUCAGACCAGCGGGGGGAUUCGCGGUUUCCGUACGACUGACGGGGCAAGGCAAAUUUUUAAAUACGUUGUUUUGCGCAUUUUUGUCACUUUAGUAUUUUAUAAUUUAAAAUAUAUUAAUUUAAUAUUUUAAAAUUUUUUUCGUGAGUCUUUCGUUAAUUUUUUAUUAAAUUAUAUAUCAAAAAUUUCAGAUCAUCCAUCUUUAAUUUAUCAAAUAUUCACUUCAAUAUCUUUACUUUUAGGGUGCGUUUGGUUCUCGCUAUCUUUUAAAGAUUCCUAGUAAUCCAAUGGAAAUAAAAAUAUAUGACGGUGUUUGGCUAAACGCACUAAGUAAUCUAGUUGGUAAUAUUGGAUUCACUUAGGAAUAAGAUUCACCCCAAAGUACUAAUCUCAUUCCCUUGAGGGAGGGUGGGUAUCCUCAUAUUAAUGGAUUGAGAUAAUCAUAAUAUGUCUAAUCUCUUUCUUUCUUUCUACCCGCCGGCUAAUUGAUAUUAUUUUUCUUUACACUCUAACCUUAUAUCUCUCUCUAAACUUAUUUUUCUCUCUAAAAUUCAACUUUUUUUUCUCUCUCUAAACUAAGCUUUCUCUCUCUCUUUUUCUAAAAUUUCAACUCUCUCACUCCCUCUAAUUUCGACUAUAUUUUUCUUUCUAUUUUUUUAAUUAUGCUCUCUCUCUCUAACUUAUACUCUCUCUCCCUUUUUUCUAAAAAGAUGUUGAAACUUUUGGUAACAUUAUCUAAAAUUAAUUAAAUAAAUAAAUUAAUUAAUUGUAUAUUUUUUGCAAUAUAAAAUAACAUGGCUAAUUAAUAUUACCGUGCGAACCAAACACAGGAAUUCUACAUUUUUAGUAAUAGAAUGAAUAGGAAUAAGAUUCUCAGAUAUCUUUUAUUCCUAGUAAUCUUUCAUAAUGCGAACCAAACGCACCCUUAAUUUUAUCACUAAUUUAACAAAAUAAAUUAAUAAAGUAAAAAAAUUUGAAACAAUAUAAGUGGUAUUUGGAGUUUUUCGAGGAACAAAGACCGCGGGUAUUUGAGCAGCAUGUGCGUGAUGAACGGGCAGCACGGAUUUCCUACAACCUGGGUUCUACGUUUUUUGCUGCUACCAAGGUACUUGGGAUUCUUCCAUGUUAGUCAUCCAAUAUGUCAAAAUAUUAUUUUUACUAUUCAAUAUUUGUUUUUUGUACGUCUACUAUAAUUUGAUUUUUAAAUUUAAAUAUAUUAUUUAUUUUUAUAUAUUUUAUUACGAUAUACACCGAAUUCAAAAUUUUAAAUCAAGUAGUGUUAACUGAUUCAAAUCAAAUAAAUUCAAAUUUUGGAUAGUUGGAAAUUUUGAAAAGUUAGAUAUAUGAUGCAAAAUAGUUCAUCGUGUAGAUAAAUUCGGUAUGUUUUGAUCUAUUUUAUUUGUUGCUACUUAGUUAGCAGCCCUUUUUUUUUUGUUUGCCACUGAAAACUGUCUGAUACUAUUAGAUUUUUAAAAAAAAGAAGUUAGGAAUGAAACAAUAAUCCUUUUGUUUUGUUUUGUUUUUUAUUAAACAGGGGUAUACCAAAAAGUAUAAUUUGAUAUUUCCAUUUUCAUAUUUAUGGUCUUUGCCAUACUACAAUAUGGCUUUGGAUGGCUUCGGAAGCUAAGUAAUCCAAUGGGAAACUUAGGCACUGAAGCAAAACGGAAAUUAACAUCAAUAUAAAUGUAGAAAUUAUGUAUCAAGAUAGUAAUGUAUACUUCACAAUUCUCAUUAAUCACCACACCAACCAUACAAGUCAUAGUCUAGAAACAGAGCCACAUAUUUGGUUUAUAAUUUCCCUUCUUAGUAUCUUCCCAGAUGGCGAUUUUGGUAUUCUGUCAACAAACAGAACCUUGCGUAUCUUCUUAUACGGCGCGACCUGUUAAAAAAAAUUAAAUGAAAACAUUCACUUCAUAUAUGUUGUGUGAUAAUCCAUAAUCUUGCUCGAAAUCUCUUCUUCCACAAAAUAUUAAUAUUUGAAAAAAUUUGGAGCGAAAUAUACCUGCUGAGCAACAUAAUCCAUUACUUCGGUUUCGCUGAUAUCGCAUCCUGGUUGUCUCACCACAAGUGCCACAGGUAUUUGACCAGCUUCUUCAUGAGGAUACCUAAAGCAAUGCGAAAAUACGAUGAUCGUAAGUAAGCAUACAACUGUUCUUGACAAAAUUUUUGUGCGUAUAAAAGUUUAUUUUUCACUUUAUUCAACUUCUGAUUACAGAGUUUAGAAACUCACGGUAUCACGGCCGCGUCGAGGAUCUUCGGAGAAGAUUGGAGCACGUGCUCCAACUCUGCAGGUGGAACCUGUGAUAGCAACCAAAUAAUGCCCAGUGAAACUAAAUUAUGUUAUCCAAAGAUAUUAAAGAAAAGAAGUGUUCUUUUUUGUUACUACUGAGCAAAAACUUUUCAUAGAGAUAAGAACAAGGACCUGGUACGCCUUGUAUUUGAUUAGCUCUUUAAGCCUAUCAACUACAUGAACAAAUCCAUCUUGAUCAAUGUAACAAAGAUCGCCCGUCUUCAACCACCCUUCGCUAUCAAAGGCUGAAGCAUUCGCUUCGUCGUCCCCGACGUAACCUAAGAAAAUAGAAUACGUAUGUAAUUCGGAUCAAAUGAAUAUCAACUCUUCAACCUAAUUUGCGUGUGUUCUCUUGUACUAUUUUUGCUUCAGUACUAAUAAUAAAACAAGUAAACUCAACAUCUGAAAUGUUACAAAGAAAUGAUUACUUCUAAAAUUUUCGCAUAAUUUCUGUAUAUUGAUCCAACACUUUUCGACUUAUAACACCGUCUCCGAAUCUAAUCCUACAUGCCUAACAAGAACAUUUAUCUCAUGAAUAAGGCAAAAAAAAAAUAGUAAGAAGGAAAAAUAAGAAAAAAGAGGUGUUACUUUUCUUCUUCUUUUUUUGAGAGAGAGAGAGAUAGGUAGCAUGCUAGCUACUUCGUUUAUUUCAUUUAGAAAUAAACUUAGCUAGAAAUAUAAAUCAACUAAGAUUCGAGCUUGGGACCUCGAACUAGCAUGUUAUAUUUUUUAUAUUACCUUUCAUGAGAGCCGGGCCUCGGACCCAAAGCUCUCCUUUUUGGCCAACUGACAGUAUAUUACCAGUGACAUGGUCUACGAUUUUCACUUCGACGUUCUGCGCAAGGCGACCGGCGGAUCUCAGAUGACAGCAUUCUUCGGGGUUGAUCAUCCUCGAUAUACCUCCGGCCUCUGUCGCACCAUAUCCCUAGCGCCCAAAAUAAAAAAAUGUAGGAGUCUGGAUAAGACAAAAUCAGCUUUACAAUAAGAUAAGAAAAUAGAAGCUGCAAUUUGAACUGUUUUUAGUGUCCCUAGCUUGGCACGAGGACACUGGAGGGACUCGAAUUGAAAAAGAAAUGUCAUGGGUUCAUCAAAUAGCACUAAAAUUACUAAAUUUUGAGUAUUCCAUUUCUAUCUUCAAAAUUAGUAACCAAAGAAGAUUUACUAAAUAAACCUUUCAACAGUAUAAAAUAGCUCUAUUUAAACAGUAUCAGGUCGGGACAAAAGAUGUCAUGUCAUUCAUUACAUGUCUAACACCACCCAACUUUUUCAAAAAAAAAAAAACAGUUGCAGUCAAAACAUAGUUGGCACCUGCCCAUCUUCUUCAUGCAACUACUAUUUUUUGAAAACUGCUUACUAAUAUGUGUGACUUGUUGAAAGGAGCUUUCGCUAUCCUUUUUCUUUUUUUUCCAUUUUGUUAUGCAAAGACAAAAUACCAGUGUUUACAAAUAGUGGCAAUCUCAAUUAUUAAUGCACACUGGGCCUCCUCAACUUAUUUGCUUGCUAAGCUGUGCACUGAUGUAUUGCUAAUCAAAGGGAGUUGCUGCGGAUAACUGUUUAUGAUAAAAAUUUGAUUAAACUCUCUCGAUGCGAAACUCAAAUAAUCGGUAGUAGAGCGACUACCGAAUUUUCAGCGAUUGAUGCCAGAGCAAGUUACAAAUCCUGAUCUCCAAAAAAAAAGAUUUCUACAUACUAUUCAUGUGUAGAUAAAUAUAUAAUAUUUUAAAUUUUACGUGCACAAAUUAAUUAAGAACUUUUAAAUUAUCAUUAUUUAAUGACUGGUAUAAUUUUUUUUUUUUAUAAAAAAGUUCUUUUUAGAUGUUUUUGAAAAAUUAUUUCUCUCUACUAAACUCUCAUGCUCAAACCAUAAAUGAAGUUUUGCUAUCAAUUUUCCUUUUCAAUCAAAUGGUUUAUUUAUGAAUUUUUAUUUAUUUUGAAAGGUAUACUAAUCCAUUAGUCACGGGGAUGGGAAAGAGUCACGGUAACACAAUCAAAGCAAUUGAUUAUGCAAAUCAAACAAUAGGAAUUUAUUUUUAAAAUUAAAGGAAGAACUCCUUAAUUGCCAUCGGAAUGCUAAAAGUGGUGUGACUUUUUUUGCUAUGAAAUUAAAAACUAAGCAAUCAUGUGAGACUUGCUUUUAUUAUCAAAUUAUAAAUGACUCUUUGAUGUGCCCCCACUCCCAACCCUAACUCUAUUAAAAAAAAAGUCAUAGGAGUUUCUGUAGCGGUUCUGUAAAGAAAAUUAAUAUUAAAAAAAAAUAAUUUUGAUAUUGACAGAUAGAAAACGUCGUAUUUAUUCAUGAUUUGAAUAUUUUUUUUUUUUACUCCAGCAAUAUUAAGAAUAAUUUUGGCAACAUUAAUUCUCUUCCGUAAAAAAAAAAAAAAACUUUUACCAAGGGUUUUGUUUAACUUUUCUUAUCACAUUUUUGUUCUGUUUGGUGUAAAAAAAUUAAUUUGGUAAAAAAGAACUUUUUUCAUAAUAAAUUUGUAAUAGAAUUAUAUUCUUACCCAGUUUGAUAAUUAAUGUACUGUUCCUACUCAUCUUAAAUUGUACGUAUAUGUAAAUCAAUUGGGUUGACCAUCACUGUCUCACAUCCAUAUUAUGCAGGAUUUUGUGAACAACUCCUGUUGGAUGCGUAUUGCUACAGGUUCCUUAAUAAAAUGUUAUCUAUGGCUUAAUAUAUAUUGUUAUUAUAUUAAUAAUAAUAUAUUCGCAUCAAUAAAUAAUUAAUGUAGACUAUAUGCCCCAUACCAAUAUAUAUCAUUAUCAAUCUUUAAAAUUAAUUUUUUUGGGAGAUUCAAAAUGUAUUUCUAGUCAGAGCAUGCCAGCACAUUAAUCCCGUUGCAGCAGCAGUACAACGUAAAUAGCACUGCUGACGUGUAGCGUACCUGCUGCAGCUCCACGCGUGGGAAGCGUGAUUGGAACCGCCGGGCCGCCGCCACGUGCAGCGGCGCCCCGCCGCACACGACUCGCCGGAGCGCCGGCAGGCCGUAGCGCGACGCCUCCGCCGUCAUCACCACCGUCGUCUCCGCCAGCGCCACCCCCUUCAGCGCGAAGAAGAACCCCAGGGAGUGGAACAUCGGCGCCCCCAGCAGGGUCACCUGCUGCACUAAAAUAUAAAAAUAUUAAAACACUGUUCGUUCGUUGAGAUAUUGUAUCAUAUGAUAUAACACUCGGUUAUUUAAUACUGUAGUAUCAGAGCAGAAGGUUUCUGAAAACUGGUAAUUGACGACCUGCGGUCCGUCGACAGGGCGCAGCGCGUGGAAUCCGGCGGCCAUGGCGAUGAAGCUGCGGUGCGGCAGCGCCGCCGCCUUCACCUGCCCCGUGGUGCCGGACGAGUACUGGAUGGCCGCCGUGUCCGACUGCAUGAUCUCGACGUCGGGAACGGGCGCAGAGUCGGCUUUCAAGAAGGAGCGGAAUCGGGGGGAGUCGAGGAGGACGGUGGGGAGGUCGGACGGGAGCUUGUGGGCGGUGGAGGAGGUGGCGAAGGCGACGGAGGGUCUCGAGAGGCCGACGAGGCGGGAGAUCUCCGGAGGGGUCGAAACAGGGUUCGCAGGGGAGACGACGACGCCGAGGGAGAGGAGAGCCAAGUAGAGGACGGGGACGUCGAGGCGCGGCGGGGAGAGGACGAAGGCGACGUCGCCUUUGGACACGGCGACGGUGGAGCGGAGCGCGGCGGCGAGGGAGCGGGUUUGAGAGAGCAGCUCCGGGUAGGAGAUGGCGUCGCCAUUGGCGGCGUCGACGAGAGCGGGGUGGGAGGGGAGGGGGGAAGAAGGGAGGAAGGAGAAGGCGAAGGAGGGGAAGGAGAGGGGGAGGGAAGGGGGAGGGAGGGGGGAGGCUGGGCGGAGGCUGUGGAAGGUCCUCGUCGCUGCGCAGAAGCCGCUGCGAGGGUCGAUGGACGGCGCCGGAGAGGAGGAUUCGGCGGCAACUGCGGCGGCGGCGGCGGCGGCGGUCUCUGCCAUGAGGAAAUUAUGUAUGUGGAGUACAGUGGGUGGUUGGACGCUGGGAGGAGGAGAAAUGGUAUUAGUUUGUGUUUUUUGUUUUUGUUUUUAUAAUUAGUAGUCUUCUUUGGCAGCAGUUUAUGUGUUUAAAAUUUAAAAAAUUCUGUCUGCACAUUUUAUAAAAAAAAAAGAAAAAGAAAAAAAGUUUGUGUAUAUUUUACAUUUUUUAUUAUAGUUUGAAUAACUCUUUUUCAAUUUUUACUGCUAAAAAAAAGGUUAAUAAGAUAAAUUUCAAAUUUUAAAAAUAUCUAAUUACUUUCAGUUGACAGAAAUAUUUUAAUUAAUUUUUAAUUUUUUUAAAGAUAUAUAUUAUAAUAUUAAGAUCUACUGAGAAAUUUGAGAUUUUAAAAAUUUCUUUAAAUAUAACGCUUGCAUAUCAUUUACUAAUACGUGGGGCCCAUGCAUUGUCAGUUCGACUGUCCAGCAUCCGACGGUACUGAGGGGUCAUUGGAAAUUUCUUUUUUCUUUUUUAAAUUACAUGUUGAUACACUUGUGAUACAAGUGCAAGAAACCAUGGGCAGGAAAAGUACUUAUAAUUUACUAAACAUCAAUUUAGUAUCCUGUUCUUUUAUUCUUAUUUUUUUAUUAAUUUUUCUGUUAAUAUUUAGUUAAAUUAUAUACAAACAAUAUCAAGUAUUCUAUUUAGGUUUAUCAAAUAUUCCCUUUAGUUACCACUGAUUUAAUGAAAAAAAUAGCAAAAUCGAUAAUAAAAGACUAAAAAUGAAACCACAUGUCACUAAAUUGAUAUACUUUAAAUCACAAAAUAUUAAGCUGAGAAAGUGUGAAACCACAUGGUGGUAUUUGAAUUUUUUUUUUUUUUCCAAAAUAGGUGGCGAAUGUUGAGAAGAGAAACUUUUUUUUUUCAUUAUUUACCUCGAGUUCUUUUUAAAUUUAAUAAUUUUGUAGCAAGUAAAAUUUUGAUUGAUUAAUUUUAGUUCUUUUAAAUUUAAUAAUUUUGUCGCAAGCAAAAUUUCAAUCGAUUAAAAGUUAAUAGCUAUAGAGUUAUUAAAUUGGAUAAAUUAUUUUAUCGUAAUCGAAUAUAAAAAUUUAAAUAAUAGAAUUAAAUGUUAAAAACUCUCAAGUAAAAAAAUGGAAGUUGAGGAGGCUAUUUCGGAAUUGUCCGAUGAUUUAGGAGAUUUUUAUAUAAUUUUACUGAUAAUUUUACUGACGUGAAUUAGCCCUGUAGCCCACAAACGAGUUUCUUUGAUUUCGCCUUUCACGUCGGAGUUUUUCUAAUCUUCAAGUUCAUGUUAUCCGAAAAAUUGUUUUAUAAUGUGUUAAGCAACCAAAAAUAAAUGAGAAAACUUAAGUAUCCUUUAAAUAUUUAAGGAUAGAAAUACUUAAUCUAAGAUCAAAAAUAUCUUCAUUGUGCUGUUAAAAAUUAUUAAUUUUUAAGUACAUUUGAUCAUAAGUUAGAUGAUAUUGAAAUAUCGUAAAAUUCUAUAUCUAAUGAAUUGGCAGUUUCACAUCCUUGUUGGCUUAAAAAAAUCAGCAUUCUAUCUUGUAGUGGAAGAUCAGGUUUGGUUCGAAAUGACGGAAAGUCCAAUUGGAUUGAAUUAUGUUCGAAAUAACGUGAGACUAAUUAGACCGAAUCACAAUUGAAAUCCGUGAGCACUGUAUUUGCACGUUUUAAGUGAAUUAACUGUAUCUUUUUAACCGCUUAAGUUUUAAGGAUGAAUGGUUAACGCCAACGAUCACAAUCCUAUGAUCAAAAAAUAAUUUAAUAGAGUUGAAACCUGAGUACUAUUAUUGGUAAUAAUUUAGCCCAAUUGUGACCUUGAGUUGAGGGCACCCGCUAAAAUUAUUAGGACACAAUUUGGCCCCACAAUGACAUAUCUAUCUUGAAAAGAGAUUUCAACUUCUCAUCAACAAACACAAGAAUCUUAAUAAGGGAUUUCAACUUCUCAUCUGCAAACACAAGAAAAUGUAAAGAGUCACUGUCCUGACAUAAUAUUAUUGAUAUAUGAUGAUCAUAACUGUCUGAUCACGUGCAAAAGUAAACCUGUUAUGGAAAAAAAAAAAAAAAAAAAUUUAAAAAAAAGGCAAGAGACCACAAGAGUGGUUGCAAUGAGACAUCUGGCCUUUGAAGAAAUGGCCAUCCAAUAAGUCAAACAAUGCAUAGUUUUUGUUAGAACAAACAAGUGGAAGCUAUUUAAAUUGGCCUUAGUGAGGCAUUUGUGAAGUGCUGUUAUAUAAAGCUGUUUAAAAAAGUUUCGACCUUGUGUGCUUGUUAUCCUGUUUGUCAAAGUUCAUCUUACUCCUUGCUACGGUAAAAAGCACUAAUUAUUUAUAAAGCAAAAGUGAAAAUAUAUGAGAUCUUUUCUAGAUUGACAAAUAGUUGUGGCACGCCUUUUUUCUUGAAGCCCCAUCACAUAACAUACAGGAUAUUCUAAAGUUAGCCCUCAACUUUUUAAAGCUUACAAUAAACUAAAGUUCAGAUAUAUUUUUCAGUUUUUCAAAAUGACCUUUAACUUUUACUAAACUCUCAAUUAAAAAUCAAAUCUCAUAGCAACCUACAAUUAACAGCAAUUUAAAAUCCAAUCUACUGAGCAUAGUGAAUAACAAAAUAUUAUCCACUUCCUCCACCGGAUGAAUUUAAGUUAUCGUCACACAGAAAUAAUUAAAGUUUUUAAUCUGAGUUAAAAUUAAUUAGUAGAGCUUCUCACUUCUGAUAUAGUCUGAAGAACAGUUAGGAGAAAACCAAUAUCGUAUUCUUAUUAUGCAUCAGGCCAAACAAGAAAAGAAAAAAAAAAAUACAAAUCAAAUUAACUUACCUAAACAUUAGAUUCUUUCAAUAAAAAUCCAAAACAAUUGUACUUCAUAUCCGCAUCUUAAAAUAUUCUUAAAAAAUAUUUAUCUCAUUUGAAUCGUUUGUGACCCCUCAACAGAAACCAUCAAAUUGAGUGGCUCUCAUCUGCACAUGCAACUUUUUCACACACCAAAAAAUAAGCUAAAAUUUUAGUUCACGCUUUGUUUUUCCCCAAUAAACAAAUUCAUUUAAAGUCAGCUAAACACAUUAAUCGCACCAUAAAAUGAAAUAAUCUUUCCAGUAAUAUCACCCUCGACAUUUCGAAAAGAGUUUAUAUUCAAUGAAUAACCGAUAACAUUUAUGAAAAACAAUUACAACAUCAGAAAACAGAUACAGCAAAAGUGCAGCUAGAAGUGCACCUGUAUCUUCCGACAAAAGAAACACCUGAAAAUGAAGGCACACAUAACAAGCAAUGCUGUCAAAACAAACUAAUUUCAUAGAGAUAAACUUAAUUAAAACAGCUCAGUUUUGUUAAAAGAACAAAAUGAGAGUACACAUCUUGGCUGCAACCAUAUCACUAUGGCACCUCUGUUAAAGAAUGAACGUAACCUAACUUGGUACUGCAAUAACAAGAGAUGGAGUCUCAUCUGGCAGUUAAAAGAAACUAAUAGAUACUGGAGACCAAGUAAUACAUACUGAUGCCAGUUGCUUUGCUUGGUUACCGGGCCAAUGCGACUUGCUAUUGUUUUGUUCAAGUGAACAUGCUGCAAACCACAACAGGCUUUAGAAGUGCCUGGCAUUUAUUAAGCAGAUCACACACAUCAGAGAGAAUAUGUACUUGCUGCUUACAUCAGAAAGAAUUUCAAGAGAGUGGAAUCAGUAUUAUAUAUCAUAACAAAUGGCAACUUUCUCAUUUGAACCAUCUAGAAUUCCACUGGGCAUCAGUUCACCUGCGACUUACGAAUGUACUACGGAACAUACCUCAGUAGACAGUAGCUAUGAAUUGUAGUUACUGCCCCUCCCAGCUGUGGGAAUCAGUACAUUCUAAGGCAAUUAUGUGGGGACGACAGAGCCAUCCUUUCCUUUUCUUUACAUUUGUUCCCAGCAUCACGGUUGCACAAAAUCCAUCCAAUCACUAAAAAAGAUCCAAACAUUUUCCCCCCAGCUUGGACUCCAAACGUGAUCUUCGAGAAAACCAAUGAAAAGUUGUGAAUCGAUCAACUUAUGAUCACACAGCUACUGAGUGCUUCUUGAAGGUUAGCAGUCUGGGUGAACUGAAUUGUGGCAGAUCAUACAGACAGUAGUGUCAACAAAUCUUUACGGCCCCAACCCUACCCUAUGCUUAAGCAGAGUUUCUGUACCAACCUGAUCUUUGUACCAUUUGUAACAACUUAUAGGUCACUGUCCAUAUGAAAGGAUGUCCAUAUCGUAGUGAAUUUGUCCAGUGUGCCGCGUCACGCAAAAAGUGAUUUGCAUUAAAUAUCAAACUAAGCAGACCACCGAAGAAACCUUAAAUCAAAAUGGGCAAUUCAUAUCGCGAGCAACAGGGCGGUUUAUGAGCAAAAGAACUUCUUGGCAAGGUAUGUGUGGACAUUGAUAGACUCCAAAAUAUGAACACUAUUCAUCCGCAUCAAAAGGACCAAGUUCGUAAAUUAGCAUACCUCCAUGUAAUUGCUUAUCAACAUAGUGAAAAACAGCCCCACCUUCAUGCUCGCCUUCUUGAUGAAGCUUCAAGAAAUGAUAUCAUGAUCCUACCUUCAGUAUGAUGGACAUCUCAUUCUGUCAUGGAGUGUAGAUAGAAGUUGUGAUAACAGAUAGCUUUGAUGGUCAGGCUUUCUAUUUAUUAUGUCGACAUAAAAGACUAGAGUAGAAACUUUAUCGAAGUCACCAUCUUUUCCGAAUGAUUGCAGUUUUCUGGUUUUGUUGUUUUCGAAAUAUGCCACCUAGGCAAAGCACUAUUCAACCGGUCAAUCUUAAAAUAUCCCUUCAGUUGCAGGUUUAGGCAUCUAGAAGCUCCUAUAGUGCCUCUCCAUGGUGAUACGGUGCCGAAGAAUUCCUAAAAAUAUCACUGAUGAAAUUUAAAAAGAAAUAAGAAGUGAAAUCAGGGGGAAAAGUUUAUAAUACAAUCAGCCAUCCUGUUUUCAAUAUACCUGGUGAACUUUUGACAGACUGAAUUCCUCCUCAGUCCUCAAAUCCCUGAUGACUCCUAGCUGGCUAGGACACCAACUGGUAGGAGCUAUUACUUGUGGGCAUCUCUCUCACAAAGAGGUGCCCUUUCUUCUCUUCACCUUGAUAGAAAGGGCUCCUAAAGAUGUAUACUAAAAAAUUGGAAGAGCUACAUUGUCAUUCUCUAUCUCUUUAACAAAGAAAAAGAAUCUUAUCUGUAGACCACACCCUCCGAAGAAAACCAUUCUGAUAUAAUUCUUAGACAUGGAAACAAGAGCAUUAACAACAUCAGAACACCUGAGUAGGAAAAAUAAUUAUACUAGGCCAGUUAGCUGAACAGGAUCCAGAGCCCCACUCAACAGUAGCAUCAAGUUUAACACCUAAAUUGUAGGAUGACUGGCCAAUCAACCGACCUCAUUAUUAGAAAAGCGAGGCGACUGGCCAAUCAAACUCAUUCCAAAGAAUAAAAAAUGGUAGCACUGUACAAGUUAAAUUUUUUGUAUGAUAUUUUUAAAGCCUACUCGUUUCUGGUAUAUUGUUUACAAACAAAUGUCCCAAUGACUAAUAAAUACACAUUUUCCAGAUAUAUUUGAAAGCGGGAAAAGUGAUAAUUGAAGAAUGAACGUGCUAUGUAAAUACAAAACAUAGUGGACGAUGAACGACAUCUUUCUAAUCCAUAAGAUUGUAUUUCACAAAAAAGCAGGUUUUAUUAGAUAUCAUAAACAAAAGAUAAAAUGCAUGAAACAAGAGCCAAAAAAUACCAUUCCCCGAAGUCCAGCAAACGGUUGUAAAAACAAUAUAUCAGGCCACAGUAUGACUCCGAACACUAUCUUGGCCACAUUAAAAGAUUAGGAGCUACGCGCCACGCGCAUCAUGCGGACAAGGCAUACACAAAAAUCAGCACUAUUCUUUGCACAUAGACGAUGGGAAUAUAUUAGUAAAGUUUUAUAAACCAACUUUCACUAAAUCCAGAACAGAUUUCUCAAGAACAUAAGCAUUCACCUGGAACAUACUCGACUUACCCUGGCAGUAUCACCUAUCCCAUUCGAGUUGCUGUCUAUGGAACUGCAGCAUCAAUUUGCGGCAUCAAUAUCAAUAGUGCCUUGAAGAACAAUUCUACAGCAACAGCAACUUGGUGAUAGCAUUACAGCUAUAUGAGAAGGAAAAAAGGGGGGGAAAACAGAGAAAAAAAGGGAAAAGGACAGAAAAUUGCCACCUCGCCAUCGUAUGUAACUUAACAGGCAAACAACAUCGUAGAAGAGUAUAAAAUUGAGAAGUGAGCAAAUUGAAGCAUCAGAACAAUGAUAAGACAGGCCAAAUUAUUUGUCCGCAAUAACUUAGCAUGACUGGACAAGAAGAAACAAGAGUAGUAUACUGACCAAUGGGAGUUUCCACGCUUUCAGUGGGGGCUUUUUUUUUUUUGAGAAAAAGAAAACCUAGUAGGUUCACCAAGUUCAAGAGCUGUCAAGCUCCAGAUUUUGAAGAACCGCAAACUUAAAACUGCAUAAGUGUCAAAAAUAGUCGUAAGUUUCACUGGCUUUUAAAACAGUUCAGAUAAUAAUCAGCAGAUCAUCUUAACUCCAAAGUGUUAUGCAAGGAAAAGGGUGAUAAACAGCUUUUCUCAAAGCUUAUACAAGUCAUUAGAGAAACCAAGAUGAACUAAUAGUCCUCUCCAGAUUUGAGCAAUGUUAAACUUUAACACACGGGCAUGAAUAAUAUGUAAAGUAUACCAAAUCUUCUUUGCCAAGACCAAACAUGAAGUAGCAUUCAUCAGGCUGCUCAUAAUUAUAUGAUAGUCUAUCAAAUUUCUAGCUUCAUUUAACGAAAGUCUUCUUUACCAUAUCGAUCAACUCUUAAAGCCAUUUUACAUUAUUAUUACACAAGCAUCACACCACUUUAUUCUGUAAAUUUGAUACUGCGCAAAUUUCAUCACAUUAAAAUAUAUUGCUAUAUAUAAGGUUUGCUAACGAUCCGCUCUAGUCCAUAAUCGAGCAGAAUUUGGUAAAUUUUAGUUUGGAUUAGCUUUGACUUCUAGCAGACUUACAUAUUACUCAACGACCUUGAAAUGAUUCUUUGUUCAUACCUUAGUUAAAAACCUUUUCAAAUGAAAAUUGAGACAAGUCCAGACACAAAUAGUGAUACCAAAAGAGUGGUACUAUGACAGUAAAUAAAAUAAGAGACGGUUUGGAUAAAUUAGGAUUUGCAUAUGGGGUCGCCAACUGGCCAUUGACUUUAUAUUUAUGGCCACAAAGGAGGAAGUUUAUGAAAUUUCUUUAUUGAGUUAGCAAAUAAAAAUAUGGUUCUUUGACUUGGGCCUUACUUUCUGUUUAUUCUCCUUGUUCUCCUUUGUUUUUCUCCUCAUCCUCCUCAUCUCCAAUUCAAUCUUCCCAUAAAAGUAGCGAGUCUCAUGAGCAACAUUCUGUGAGCCUCUUUAUCCCAACUACUACCAACAACAACCAUAAUCAAUCAAGUACACUUAAGAAACCACAUCUCCCAACCGCUACAACAACUCUAUGAUCGAGGUUGGAUCAAUAUUAUAAUAUUUAAUUAUGUGAGAAAUGUGUUUCUAGCCUUUGUAUUGGAUAAUAACCAAAUCUUCAUUUAUGCAUAAUAUAGAGACUACACUAUACCUAUACAGAGUGUAAGAGAAGUGUAAACGAAGUCUGAAAGUCUAAGUUGUAUGAGUUUGACAAUUUGAGAGUUUACAACUCUUUUAUUUAUGUAUUACUAUGUUUUUAUAUAGAAUUGAAACUUUCGAACUGUUAAUCACACAUAGCUAACAAAAGGCAGGAAAAAAUAAGUGCAAAGAGUCCCAAAGGCAAUUCUUUUCCUCAUCGACAAGCAUACAAUAGUUAGCUCAAUAUGAAUCUUUAUAUUUCACCUAUGCAAUUAUAAAAGAAAUUUCACCUUGCAAGAAGGAUAAUUUCACAUGCACACCAAUACUGUCAGAAAAAAGUUACACAAAGCAUACAGAAGACAUCGAGCAUGAGGUGUUACAGUUAUUGUGACAUCAAAAGCAAGAAAACACAUCAUCAAUGAUGACAGUGUUAACACUUCAUGUACAAUCACUAUAGGUGAGUUACCUUUCUGCUAGAAUUCUCCCCUCAAUUCCUUCAGAAAAAGAAAAGACCACCUCAGGACAAGCUAAAAUGAUCUUCCGCUUCACAUCAUUCGUCUCUUGCAAAAUAAAUGCAAAGAUCAAAGGAAAAGGUACCAACAAUGAAGAUAAAAUAUUUAUAAACUUCAGAUAUUUCAAGACCAAGAUGUUUGGCAUCAUUUAAAGAUUACAAGUAAGGAAUAUGUUACAUAAAUGCAUUCAAAAGUGAUAUUGACUUGAGCAACAAAUCCAAUAUGCCACACCUUACGAUGUAGGUUUCAUUAGAGGAUUGCUUUAUCUCAUGAAUAGGCCAAGCACAUUUUAUCCUGCAACAAAAAUUGGUUUUGGCGUAGUAUAGGAAGAAGAAUGUUAUCCACCCAAUCGCCAAGGGUGCCUGAUAAACAAGAGCAUCAGUUGUCGCUCUCACCUCAGAGAAAUCAACCUGCUGUCACUACCAGUGUUAGUAUUGCAUCGAUCAUCAAUAGCUGUGUGCUCUACCAGAACUUUGGUUUCUCUUAACCGAAAAGGCUGUGUGUCCCUAACUCCCCUUUCUGUAACUCUUUUAUUCGCUGCUCCGCAAGUGGAUCAGGACUCUUCAUGGUCCUCCUUAGACGCCUAUAUUAUUUGAAGAAACAAGUGUCACUGUGAUGGAAAAAUCUUUCAAGUAAAAGUAUAAUUAUUCAUCUGACUCUCAGUGCAUCCAUGUACCUGUCCUGUGCAUGUUGAGCAGGGAAUGUUGGCAUGAAAUCCUUUGAUUUAGGCAGAGGAACUUCACGAAACCAAUCAUGUUUGAGAGCAGCUUCUGCUGUUAUACGCUGCAACAAGCAAAAUAACACACAAUUAGAGAGGGAAAAGGACUAAAGGAAUGAUAACAAAUAUUAGCACCGAAUGGCUCUAGCGCAUCACCUUCUCAGGGUCAUAAGUCAACAGUUUGUUGAGUAAGUCAAAUCCAGCUUCCGACAAGGACGGGCGUCCCGAAAAUGAUGUGGGCGGGAACUUUUCCCGCAGCCUGUUGUACCUGUUGGAUCAAAUGCAAUGGCUACUUAAGGGAAAAUUGCAAAGAGUAGCAGUGCUAAGUAGUGCUCGUUAGCGGAAAAUCAAUAACAAAGCAAUCAAGUAGAGAAGAAACUUACGGUUGCUUGACAAAGUUGGCUUUCACAUGAGGUAAUUUAGCAAAUCCCGGCCAUAUCUUCUCGUUUGGUGUGCCAAGUGUUCUAAAUAUCUUCAAGAAAGAAAGUUAACAAUUAGAUUGCAACAAGCGAAACAAAUGUAUUGCAUACCGUUAGAGAGGGUACCUUGUCAAGCUGGUCAAACUCGGUUUUCCCAUUAAAAAGCGGUUCUUUGGCUAAAAGUUCAGCCAUUAUACAACCCAAUGACCACAUGUCAAUAGCAGUAGAGUAUUCUUUUGCUCCUAGUAGAAGUUCAGGUGCCCUGAAAAUGCAUAACACAUCAAACAUUGAGAGAAAAAUGAAACGAGAACUAUGAAAUUACAGAUUGUUGGGUACAAACUUACCUAUACCACAAAGUCACAACCAACUGAGUAUAUGGCUUCAAUGGGCUGCCAUAUUGACGAGCCAGUCCAAAAUCACAUAUUUUUAACUCACCACGGUUAUUCAAAAGUAUAUUUGAAGUCUUCAGAUCCCUAAAAGAAAGAGACCAUAUAUUAGAAGAUAUACUAUGUAUUUCCAAAUACUGCAGAACGAAAUAUACGCAAAGAACUUGCCUGUGCAAUACCCAGUUGUCAUGAAGAUACUUGACACCCUCCAACAGCUGCAGCAUCAAGCACUUAACCUCACUCUGACUAAAGGGUUGCUUCAUCGCCUCCAUGAGCCCUUUAAGAUCAUGCUCCAUGUACUCCAUUACCAUGAAUAUACUAUCUAGGCUGCUACCUACAACAACUUCCUUAACAUCAACAAUGGAAGGGUGAUGAAAAGACAACAAAAUGUUUAUCUCCCUCAGAGAGGUCAGCGGGAAGCCCUCUCGUUCCUUCUCCAUCUUAACCUUCUUCAGCGCAACAACCUCGCCAGUCUUCUUGUCCCUUGCUCUGUACACAACUCCAUAGGUGCCUUCAUCUAUCUUGUUGAGCCUCUCAAACUCAUCGACGCUUCUGCACCCUUGCAGCAUGUUGAUACAUCUUUGUGGCGGCUGUGCAGGUUCAGGGGUUUUAGCCCCAUAAUCCUCAUCCUCUGACUCUGUCUCAGACAUUCGAUCAGACACAUAGCUGUCGGCCUCAUUCCUGUCAAUAUCCAUAUAGUCGUCCCGUCCGGAACCAGACGACUUAGACACAGCCCCUGCAGAACCCUCCCUCACAAUCUCUCCAAGCUCAGGGCUUGGAACUUUCUUAAGCGAUCCUUUUCCCAACGAAUCAGCCGGCGACGUACUUCUCUUUUUCUUCGGCACAGCCUCUGCGUCUUCAUCUUUUUCAUCAUCAAGUGCAUUGUUCCCAUCGGCCCAGCGAGAAGAUGAAAUGUUCCGUGCAGUAGGGUACUCAUAAUCGUCCUCUUCCAUCUGCUCGGCUUCCGGAUAGCCGCCCAACUCACGGUCACGAGGCGAAUCAAUCGAAUUUGGCAAGACGUGCCCGCGAGGCAGGGGAGGAGGAGGCGGGGGGAGUUCGACGGGCUCAACCAAUUCUUUUCUACUUACAGAAGUAGCAAUAGCAAUAGCAAUAGCACUAACAGUAGCAGUAGCAGUAGCAGUAGUGGACUGCCUCCCGUCAUCCCUAUCCCACACUAUAGGAGAGAACUUCCUCUUCUUGCUCGGAGAGGGUAUCGAGCGGCCGUUUUCCCCAUCCUGGAAUCCGUUAUCAUUAUUAACCUGCAGCUGCGGUGCCUCAGGGCCCUCCGAUCCGCUGCCGCCAGACAGCUCCCCAGGCUCCCGAUCAGCCGACCGCCCCGAAAGCCGGCUCCUUUUCUGAUCAUCUUCGCCGCCUCCGGCCGAGCAGUGUCCGUUCUCGACGACGAUGCUCUGCCGCUUCUCCGGCUGCUGGUGAUGGUGGCGGUGAUAGCCAUUCAAAGGCUCCCUCUUCUUGGGGAGCCCCUGCGAAUCCCCAACCCUAGCCCCCAAAUCGCGGCCGCGGCGGCUCCUUCGAUCCGGGCGAUGCCCCUUCCUCCUCGACGCCUCCUUAUCCAAUUCAAGGCCCCUGGAUUGGUUGUCUCGCAGACCCCCGUGCCGCCCCGACGCCAUUGAAACCACAAGAUUCCGAUCCAGGGAACGCCGAACCUUACGAAACCCUAGAUAUCGCAAACCCAGGCAAUUGGAACCCUAGAUGAUUAGGGAGGAGGGAGCGGAGAGGAUAAGAGAGAUGGGGAAUUAGAGAAUUUAUCGGACCUGGAAGAGAGGCGGCGGCGAUGAGAGUUCUCCCCCGACGGCUCUGGAAGAGAAAAUGAAGCAGGCAGCGGAGCUUCCGUAAAAUCUCAGGACGCUUUUGUCCGCCUUCCGGGUUGCUUCUCUCUCUUAAUUAGGGCUAGGGCGAAUCACGUCAGCGCGUAUUUGGAAACAAGCGUUCAGUUCGGCUUUGUACAGAAUAUUGUGGCUUCAUUAAAAAAAAAAAAAUUAAGAAAAAUGUUACAAUUAUUCUUGUGUGAAAAAUAAUGACAAUUUAUGAACACUUUUCAUAGAACUCAAAUUUAUAAAAAAUAUUUAUUUUAUAAACUAAUAUUAUUUUAAUAUAAAAUGUUAUAUUGCUUUCAAUUGAACUCGUGUAGAGAUCCGUGCAAUGCAGCGGGUAGAUAAUAUAAGCAAAAUUUAAAAAUUUUAAUAAAAUUUAUAUUUACGGAUUAUUGAUAUAUAGAAAACUACACCAUGUUAUGUACAGCCAAUUAGUAUGACUAAAUUUAACUAUUAAAAAAAUAAAUUAUAACUAGAAUCCACUCAUUGAUAAAAUAUUAAUAUGGUGCAUAUAAUUAAUUGUUGCAUCUUACAUGUAAUUAGAUGAGUGGGAGGUGAAGGAUUGGGCGUUGAGAAGAGGAGAAGAUGGUUUGAUUUAAAAUUGGGCUAUGAGAAUGAAGGGUAACAUGUUACAUAGUAAAAUAAAUUUUUAUGGUACAUAUAAAAGAGUUACAAAAGAGAGGGGGUGGAAGAUUAAUGGAGAAAGGAGUUGAUUAAAAUUAUAAAGUCCACUCAUUCAUAGAAUAUUAAUAUGGUGCAUAUAAUUAAAUAUUGCACCUUAUAUAUAAUUAGAGGAGUGGAGAGUGAAAGGUAUCAUGCCACGUGGCAAAAAAUAUUGUGGCUUCAUAUAGAUUUAUAGAUUAUAGAUUAUAGAUAGAUUAUAGAUAUCUUAAAUUUUUACGUGCUGCUCAAUUGUAUUUAAAACCGUCAUAUAUAAACAGANAUAUAUAUAUUACACAAGUGAUAUGAAAGCAACUCAAAUUUGGUUCAGCAUCUUAAAAAAAAAAUUGCUAAUUGUCUGAUCCCAUUUUACGGCCUGAUUCAACAAAACAGAGUCAAAUUGCAACUAAUUGAACAUUUCUGCCUAUUGCGAACUUCAUCGUUCAAAUGAAAAACAUAAAAAGAAAAGAAUUAAAAAAAAAAAAAACUAUUCCGUGCUGUGGCACAGUAGGCAUGACAAUUAGAAAAGGCAUCAAACGAAGCUGCAAACAAAAACAAAAAAAAAAGGGUAGCAAGAUCGAGCUCAUUGCUUACCAACAAAUAUCUUUGGAUUGUUGGUGCUAAUCAUUAAUCCCCAAAACUCGAGCAGUUAGAAAUAUACAACUAAUUCACUUAAAGCAUAUAAAUAGAGCGUCCACGGGUCUCGAUUGUGACUCGGCCCAAUCAACCUCACGCCACUUCAAACAUGACUUGGCUCAUCCAACCUCACGUCAUUUCGAACAUGACUCGGUCCAACAUGACCUCCCGCCAUAUGGCAGAAUACUAGCUCAUUUAAGCCAACAAAUAUUUCUUCGCCCAAUAAGUUAGUAGAGAAAGCAUAUACUAAGAAAAAUGACAACACACAAUUUGAGUACUUUGGCCUUGGGCCUUAUGUUUAGUAUUAUUCUCCUUCCUCGUACGCUUUUUUUUUUCCUACGAUGUCUCCCCUGCCUCAUGAACAACACUCCGCAAGCUUCUAAUAUGCCUAUCAGAUUCAAACUAUGUCCUUAUUCAGACUAUACGAUAAGUGUAAAUGAAAUCUCCAAGGAUGUAUGAGUUGGAAAGCCCCAGAUGAUACAUCAAGAUGGUAGUCACCCAAGAAUAAGAAAUGCUGCCUAAAUGCCCACAAAGAUAACACAACCAAAACAACGUGGAACCAGCCCCACAGCAUGUAAAAAACAUAUUUGCUUAUUACAUGGAAUAAUUGCGCAACCAUGCAUCUUCACAUUAAACCCUUGCAAAAGAGAAACUCGGUCAAAUAAAUAUUGAAAUUCCCAGAGAAAUUCCACCUUGCAAGAAAAACAAUUUCAUAUGAGCACUAAUACCAUUACCAUCAGACAAAGAUUCAGGAGGCAUACAGCAGAGGCAUUACAAUUAUUGUGACGUCGAAAACAAAAUUAAUCUUCAUUUACUAGGUGAAUUACCUUGCGAGAAUUCUUUCCCACAAUCCCUUCGGGAAAAACGAACACCACUUCUUCCAGGAAAAAGGCAAUAACCAUCCUCCGCCUCACAUCGUCUCUUGCAAAAUAAAUGCAAAAAUUAACGCAAAAGGCACGAAUAAUGUACACAAACUAUUUGUAAACUUGUGAUAUUAAGAACAAGGUUCUUAAAAUUGUUUACAACAUAGUACUACGCAAUAUGUUACAGAAAUGGUUUCUAAUGUGAUACCAGUCUUAUUGAUAUGUAUACAGGAACUUCAAAACUUGCGGUCGCUGAUCUUCGAGUGCCCCUGGUAGAAUUUCAUGAAUUCAACUGCAUAUCUGCAAUAGUAAGAGCUUUUGUAGUUACUUCUUUUCGUGUAAAUCUGAUUAGUGCACAAUCGGAUUAUGGAUAUUAGAUUAGCUGCGAUGUAAAUCUAUGUCAUUGCCCAAUUAAUGCUUCCAUGUUGUCAUUUCGUGCUGCUACAAUUGUCAGCUAUCUUGUACGUAAAUUGUUACAUCUUACUACAUGUUUCCUGUUAUGGAUCAUGAUUUAUCCUAAUAAGUUUAGGAUAAGUAUAAAUUAUAUAUUUCUUAUCAGUUAAGAAACAUAUCUUAUAAUGAAUAUUUAUUAUAUAUUAAUAAAUAUCUCAAUCCUAAUCCUAAUUAGAUUCAGGAUAUUUAGGGGUUCCGUUAUUCUAUAUAUACGCCCCCGUUUUCUCCCGUAGAAACGACGAAAAAAGAAUACGAUCUAAUUCGAUAAUCCACAAAAUCUUCCUUCUUCUCUCUCUUCUUCCUCUCUGGGAUUUCCACCUACGUUCCCGGGAUUUUAGGGUGUGGACAUAGGAGAGGACUUUGGUAGCCCUCUCCGAUUGGCAUCCGUGACGUAAGGCGAUCCGUUCCUUGACGUAAGGCGUACGCAUGGAAGAAGACGGGAAAAGUGGGAGAUCUAGAAGCAUCGAGACAAGGACGAUCCAAGAAGGCUUGUAAAACGAGAAACUCGAUCCGAUUCCGGUUCCCGGAUACGUUGGCUAUCCGGUUUGUAAGUUUCCGCUGCCUAUUAUUUCUAACAUUUCCUAACGCUUCAUUUUUAUCAUGAAGUCCUGCAAUCCCAUUUGCAUAAAUGUAUAGAACCUUAUGAGAAAAUUUUGCAUCUUGUGUAGAAAUGGCGCUGCAGCGGAAAAAUAUAUCAAAGUCAGCAUCUUUUGCAAGCUAUUCUAACUCCAACAGCAACUUCCACAGAAACUUCAAUUGGACCCAACAGGUCCUUAACAAGUUCAGACAAGUUUCUUUCUGAUUACCCUACCCGGUUAAAAAUGUUCGAAAGAAAAUUAAUGUCGUUCAACGGUGACAAGUGACAACAACAUUUCGUCCGGUCAUUGCUGAAGAAAUCGAUGGCGGUCAACAACAGUGAUAAUGUUUUCACGGAAUUUUCAGCUUCCCCACAGAUUGCGAUGGAUGGCUUGUUUUCAUUCUGCUUCUCUUUUAUUGUGAUUUUUCGAUGAUGAUGAUGAUUCGGUAUGUUAAUCGCAAAUUUAGUGCCAAAAAAUGUUGCAAAAUCUCUGUUUCUCUCUGGUUGACUAGUGAGGGGUCAAAUCGCUAAAAUAUACAGUGGCUUUCUCUAAGAAAACUUGGUAAGCAGUUGUAUUUGGGUUGCGUGAGUGAUAGAGAUUUGAACAUUCCAAGUAGAACAAAGUAACAGCUAUUUGGAGAAGUGCUUUAUCUGACUAUUGACUCUCUUCAUCUUUCUGUGGAGAAGGUCUAUAAUUAAUUAAAGGGAUAAUUGCCUAUACACUACUCAUACAUUUGAAAACAUCCGAUUUAUUUUUACUUUUUUUUUCUUUCUAAAAUACCUCUCAUAUGUUUUACCGUUAUUAUAAAAUACCCCUGCAGUUAUCUCUUGUUAAGUUAACUUGGGUUAAACGUGAGUUAAAUAUCUACCAUAGUUAAAAAAAAUAAAAUACUAAUUUUGCCCUUAACUUAAGAGUAAAUAAAAAAUAUUGGUGACGGUAGAGGGAUAUAUUAAAAAAGACCAAAAGUCAAAAUACUUUUUGUGCCCCAGAUUUUAAAGGCAAAUAAGAAAAUUAGUGAUGGUGGAAGGGUAUAUUUGAAACGGCAUAAUAGUAAUUUUACAGAAAUAAAAGAGUUCAUUAAUAGAUUUUAAUUCUAGAGGUAUAUUAGAAAUAGGUUGGAACGUAGAAAAUGUAUUUUCAAUAUUAGCCUUUUAAAAAGGAUAAAUCGAAAAAUCGGAAACUUUUCAAGGUAUAUAAGCAAUUGCCCCUUAAUUAAACAUCAUUGAAACAUAAACGCAAUACUAUUCGCCAAGAGUCUUAAGUAGUUAAUACUCACUAGCUUACUUAGAGGCUAUUCAAAACAUACCAUUUUUGCCAAUCUCAUCAUCCAAAAACUUAAGGACUUGUAGUUUGUGACUAGAUUUCGCCAACAACUUUUUAAGAGGGAAAUUAUUAUAAUUAUUUGGAAAGGUUAAGUGGAAUCGAAACUCUAAUAACAAAUUAUUGUCCCACCAGUGUACUUUAAGCUCGUGGUUAACCCAUAAAGUUGCACUCAACACGUGAAUGAUCACAAUGUCUUACAAUCAAGCUAUCCAUCAUUAAGGACAUUCUUUUAUUUUUAUAUUUGUUUGUACAGUUAUCUUAUACAAUAAUUUAUCAAAAUUAAGAUAAAAAUAAAAUAUUUACAGGAUGAAUAAAUCAACUUUUAGCCCUAUAGUAUAAUUUACGCAAAAUUUGAAAAAUUUGAAUAAAGGGUAAACUUCAGGUACCACUCCUGUCGUUUCGUACUUUUUUACUUUAGUAUCAUAUAGUUUAAAGUAUAACGAAUUAGUGUCAUAUGAUUUUAUUUUUAUCUUUUUGUCAACUUUUUCGUUAAUAUUUUGUUAAAUUAUAUGCAAAAAUUUUUAGAUACUCCACAUAUAUUUAGCGAAUAUUCACUUUAGUACCAUUUAGUUUUAACUUUGUCACUGAUUUAACGAAAAAAAUUAGUAGAAUCGAUAAUAAAAAUAUAAAAUGACACUAAAUUAAUAGACUUUAAACUGACACUAAAUUACUACGCUUUAAACAGUAGAAUAUUAAAGUGAAAAAAAAAUUGAAGCCACAUGAGUCUGCAGGCUACUGUUCAAUUAUUGCAUGCACCAGGUUCAUGGUAAUAUAUACGUAUCCUCGAUUCGGUCCACCAUCCAACGAGUGGCGAUUUUUUUUUAAUAUUAUAUUUAAAUGUCGGAUUGUUGGGAUUAAUCUCCGGUACGUAAAUGGAGGGUGGAUGGGAUGAGUGGUGCACAAAAGUAUAGAUGAACUGGGUGCAUGCAUAUUUCGAUGGCGCACGUGGAAGGAUGCUGGGACACACAAAUCCACCGUCCAGUUACAGGUCACUCAGCUAUUGGACGGUGGAUCGUUAAGCAUCCGCAUGCGCCGUUGCUCGUAGUAUGGCCCACUGCGCAUGUGGGCCCCACGGGGACAGUGCGAAGUGGGCCCACAAAUUGUCCAAUCAUUUCACUAGUCCCCAGACUCUUUACUUUGCUCAGAGUUUUCCCUCAACUCCCGCAACUUUGUUUUUACUGACACCCAAUGUCAGGAAAUUACUGCAUAGACCUGGCCCACCAAUCUCCCCAGAACCGGUUCAUAAAAUUUAACCCUGUAGGUCUUUAAAAUGUUUGACUAUAAACUAUUAGAAAAGGUUACAACUAAAACAUCUAGAAAAAAAAAAAAAAAAAACUGAUUGAAUAGGGAAAAAAGUUACCUUUUUCUUAAUAUUUUGAGAAUCUUUAAAAACAUUUAUAUUUUUUUUAUCUUUAAUUGCCAGUCCGCAGUCGCAUUCUAUUGUAUAGAAUUUGUUUUUGAGAUAUACAACAUAAUAAUGUCAGAAAAAAAAAUAUAACAUAUUAAAUUUCAAAUAUCUAUAUUGUAUAUAUAGCAAUUUAAUGUUUUAUUUCAAAAUAUUCGUAAUUAUGUUUAGGGUGUGCUUAUUUUUACCGAAAGUGAAGAAGGAUGAAAUAGUUUCGGCUGUAAAUAUUUAUUUUUGUUGUUUUGUAUUAUAAUAUAAUUUUUCUUAAGUAGAAACUCAAAACUCUCCAAAAUACGAAAAAAUAAUAAUAAUAUUAAUUUAUCCACCACAUCUCUAAUUUUUACGUUAUUCACUUUCUGUUAAAUAAAUAAUAAAAUUAAAAAAUUUUAAUUUAACUAUAAUACAAAUAAAUAAUAAAAAAUAAUUUUUAUCUUAACUCUGGUUUUUCCAAUAGUCUAUUAUAAAGUGAAUUUUAUCACUGACUGUCCCAGUGCAAGUGAUAAAGGAUUUGGUGGUUGAUACUCAAAAUUCGAAAUUUAAAAUUUAGGUUAUAUUUGGGAUUGCGAGAAGAUUGCAUUAUGCAAGGUGAGAAAGUAUGAUGAAAAAAUACCCUAUUUAUUUUCGUAUGUAAUAUUGCAUUUCGCAUAUAGCGAUAAAUUGGUUACGAUAUAUUUUCUGCAGCCCCACUGAAAAACGCAGAAACAUAUCCCUAUAUACUAUUUUUCCAGUUUCAUUUUAUCUAAUAGCGUCAGAUGGGUCUCAAUGCCAAACUAAACCUUAGUUAUUUAAUAUUUUCAGUUAAAUUUAUUUUUUAAAAUAAAUAAGAUGAAUAGCAUGUUUUUUUUUAAAAAAAUAAAAAUAAAAAUGAUCUUUAAUGAAACAACAAAGAGGCUCUCAACUGAAGAGUGAAGACUACGGUCCGGACAGUAGUAUAUUCUUCCCUUAACUGCACCCAGCGCGGUCCAAAAUAUCCACCAACAACAGCUGAAAUUUACUCUCUCUGUCUCACUACCGUCCAGAUCUCCCAUCUCGAAGCACUAAUAAUUGGAGACUCGGUGAAUUUAUAUGGAAAAGUUGGAGAGUCCCUCAAUUAUAAGAAAUUCUGAAGCGAUUCCUUGGACUAUUUGCACUUUACUUCCUAAACUUAGAUUUGAACGAAAUUAACCAAAAAAUUGAGGAUUUCAUUGAGCUUAAUAGUUUUAACUAGCUCAUGGCAAGUAAAUCUUAAUUAGUCGAAAUUUAUUAGCUAAUUAAGUGGUUGCUUGAAUUUAAGAAAAAGAAAGAUUUAAAAAGUAAAAAGAGUAUAAAUAAAUAAAAAAAUUAAAGCCGAGGAAAAGUUUUUUUUUUUUUUUUUUUUUUUUUUUUUUUCCCAUUCCACCUCUUCCCAUUUUUCUUUUUCCUUAGUCCAAAGUCAAAGCCGCCUCCUUUUUACCCUCCUCCCUCAUCUCCAUCUCCCCCAAAUCCCCUUCUCUCUCUCUCUCUCUCUCCUCUCCAAUCCUCGCGUACAAAUGAGGAAAUUCUACGCUGUGCUCCAUCUCCUCCUCGUCCUCGUCCUCGUCCUCGUCUCGGCGGUGAGGGUGAGGUCGGGGGCGGGGGCAUCGGGGGCGGCGCCGCCGGGGGACGGGGAGGAGGACGACGUGCGGUGCCUGCGGGGGGUGCGGGACGCGCUGGGGCGGCGGCUGUCAGCGUGUGACUUCGCGAACGCGUCGACGGUGGGGUUCGUGUGCUNGGAGAACCGCGUGAUCGCGCUGUCGCUCCAGUCCAUGUCGCUGUCGGGCCCCGUCCCCUCCGCCCUGCAGUUCUGCCGCGCCGCCACCACCCUCGACCUCUCCUCCAACGCCCUCUCGGGGCCCAUCCCCCCCGACCUCUGCUCCUGGCUCCCCUACCUCGUCACCCUCGACCUCUCCUCCAACUCCCUCUCGGGGCCCAUCCCCACCGACCUCUCCGCCUGCCGCUUCCUCAACAGCCUCCGCCUCGCCUCCAACCGCCUCUCCGGCUCCGUCCCGGCCUCCCUCGCCCGCCUCGACCGCCUCAAGACUCUCGACCUCUCCGACAACUCCCUCUCCGGCCCCGUCCCCCCGGCCCUCGCCUCCGCAUUCGGCGCCUCCGCCUUCGCCGGCAACCCCGCCCUCUGCGUCGACUCCUCCCGCUGCGGCGCCGGCGGCCGCUCCCUCACCCGCACCAGCCUCAUCAUCAUCGUCGCCGCCGGCGUCUUCGGCGCCGCCGCCUCCCUCCUCCUCGCCUACGCCGUCUGGCGCUGGUGCUUCUCCCCCUCCAAAAAGUCCAGGAAGAGGGCCGGGGCCGGGGCCGGGGCCGGGGCGGCCGGGGAGGAGGACGGGCGGUGGUGGGCGGAGACGCUGCGGGCGUCGCACAACCGGCUGCUGCCGGUGUCGCUCUUCCAGAAGCCGAUCGUGAAGCUGAAGCUGGCGGAUCUGAUGGCCGCCACCGCCGACUUCCAUCCGGACCACAUCGUCGCCGCCGGCAGCUCCCGGGUCGGCACCUCCUACAAGGCCGUCCUCCGCGACGGCUCCGCGCUCACCGUGAAGCGCCUCCACUCCUGCCCGCUCCCCGAGAAGCCCUUCCGCGCCGAGAUGGGCCGCAUCGGCCAGCUCCGCCACCCCAACCUCGUCCCCCUCCUCGGCUUCUGCGUCGUCGAGGACGAGCGCCUCCUCGUCUACAAGCACAUGUCCGGCGGCGCCCUCCCGCCCCUCCUCCGCGCCCCGCCCCACGCCGCCCUCGACUGGCCCGCCAGGCUCCGCAUCGGCGUCGGCGCCGCCCGCGGCCUCGCCUGGCUCCACCACGGCUUCCAGAUCCCCUUCCUGCACCAGAACGUGAGCUCCGGCGCCGUCCUUCUCGACGACGACGGCGAGGCCCGGGUCACCGACUUCGGCCUCGCGCGCCUCGUCCGCGCGGCGCCGCCCCACGAAGCCGCCGCCAACACCUCCCCCUUCCUGAGCGGCGACUUCGGGGAGCUUGGCUACGUGGCGCCGGAGUACGCCACCAAUCCGAUCGCCACCACGAAGGGCGACGUCUACGCGUUCGGGGUCGUGCUGCUCGAGCUGGCCACGGGGCAGAAGCCCGCGCAAGUCAGCAGCGAGGCGGCGGGGGAAGACUUCAAGGGGAAUUUGGUCGACUGGAUCAACCAGCUGGCCGCUGCCGGCCGGUUGACCGAUGCUAUCGAUAAGUCCCUGCACGGGAAGGGCCACGACGAGGAGAUCGUGGAGUUCUUGAAGAUCGCGUGCGGGUGUAUUGUAGCCCGGCCCAAAGAGAGGUUUUCCAUGUAUCGGGUAUACCAGUCGCUGAAGGAUGUCGGAGACGGCUACGACUUCUCCGAGCAGUUCGAUGAGUUCCCGCUGGCUUACGGCAAGGAUGAUUCCGAUACCCAGUAGCUGCGGCUGGUACCGUCGGGCAGAGGCCUGUCGUCGGAUGCUCUCCAUGGAUACCUUAUCCCGUGCCUGCAUAUGUCGGUCACAUCAAGUGAUGGACCAUCUUGCUAAGUAGUCCGACGGUAUGGCUUUUCAUCUAUUUUGUAAGUGAUGGUAUAGCUUUGGUCGAUCCGUUCUUUUACUGUCGAAUGAUCAGUUAUUGGCUUGCGCUUUAGCUUUUUCAGUGCACGAAAUUUGUAAUGUUAAUAGAGGCGGCUCUUGGUAGGGGUAAUGGGCUCCCUCGUCGAUGUUGUACACGCUCUGUACUGUCAUUGCAACGGAAUUUAGUUUAGCUAUUUUCUCAAGGAGUCACCCCUGAAUUCGGCGAACCAUUUUGCGCUUACUUGCUCCACGGUUAUGGAACACUGCAGUACUCGGUGGUAGUGUAUUAUGUAUUUCCAUUGAUAUGCCGAAUCAUAGGAUAGGUUGCAAGAUCACUUUUUCAUUACAUCGAUUUCGUGUCUUUGUUUGCAUAAUAAUAUGGUAGAUAUGCGUUAAUGUCAUGAUUGGCAGCUUCUGUCUGAAAUAGGUGUUUGAUGCUAUUAACACAAGCAACUAAGGUCAGUUUGGCUUUUAUUUUUUUAUUUUUUUUUAUUUUUUUUAUAUUUACUCUGUGCUUUGGGUGAGUACUGAUGAAUGUGUUCUUGAUCACAUAUUAUUUCUUUGCUUCCGCCUCUUCAGGCUCGUUGUUAUGAAAUGACUUUGUAUUUCAUGCUCAUGUGCCCCUGCGGCAGUGAAAUUCAUGUUCAGUGCAACACUUUGAAGUGAUUAUUAUUUGUUUUAGUUGCUUAGUUAAUUGCUUAUACUUUGAUGCUUUCUCUGAAUUUUGGCUAUACAAUUUUUCUAAGUUCCUACGAGCUCGCACCAUCCUUUAGCCUAUUUCCUCCUAGGCUGUAUAUUAAUUUUUAUAACUACCAUUCGAACACCAAAUGCUGGUGAGAGCGAAGAUGUCAAACCAAUUCCCAUUGUUCUUUCAUUAGGUCUCUAUUCUAUGUAACUUCUCUAAGUAUUUGUCUUAUAAUUAUCUUAUUCGAAGGAAGGGUGCAUCCUCUUUAUUAUAGGAUUUUGAAUUUCCGAACAUGCUGUGUUUCAAAUUAGCUGCAAUUAUGGGAUCUAGUACGAAAUGAGCAUCUGAUUUUUGUUUUUUCCUUUCUUUUAAAUGGGAUAGUUCAACAUUAUCAUAUGUUAAAUUAAUUUGGAUUUUCUUCCUCUAUAUCUCAGGUGUGAUGUUUUUGAACUCUCUCUCCUUUCCUAAGUCACUGAUACACCAUGAAUCUAACAAAAUAUGGAGCUCAGUCAUGUCCAUAUUGUAGCUGAAGCCCUGCUCGACCACGCUAUAGGUUGAGUAAUAGCUACUGCAAUCCAUAUCAGUAGGUUAUAAUAGUGCGUGGGUUGCUUCCGACACUAAGAAACUUUUAAACUGAAGUUCCGCAACAAUACCUUGGUGAAUUUCUGUUCUGCUUUUAGCCUUUUAGCUUUACUUUAAGAUGGUUAAACUGAAUGCAAAAGGUGUUGAGGUUUCUUAUUUGAAGUUACACCCGGUUAGCGAAACCUAGUUUUGAAGUAACACUCUGACAGCUGCAAGUACUAGACUUAUCGACAAUUAUACUUUAGCUCAGCAGUGAUUUAAUGCUCACAAACAUCUUUUAGAAAGAAUAGAUAUCAUGCACUAAAAAGCUUUUCUGUUUUCAGUGAUUUUUUGUCAUUGUAUGGGAAAAAACCAAGUUGUCCUGGUGCUUUUUUUUGUAUUUGUACACUUUGCCCUUUAGGAUGCAUCUUUACAGCUUAUGCUUCUGUAGACAGAUUGUUUUAUGGUUUAAUGGAAACAGAACCAGAACAUCCGUAUAAUGGUGUCUUUGUCUUGUUCAAUUGGUCCAUUGUUGCAAAUUUCUUCUUUCUAGAAUAAGCACUUCUCUCGCACAAGUCGGAACGGUAGCUGCUGCUUUUGAAUCUUCAUUGGUUUUUAUUUUCUGCACUGCUUUUAAUCUUCCAAUUAUAUCAUUGCCUUCUCCUUCCUGUUCAUGCUGCUACUCUCUUUUUCUGUAUUAUUGAUUGCAAAGACAAUGCGGUGUAUCAGAUCAGUUCAAUAACCUGUUUCUAGCUGCAUGUUCCUGAUCUGUAAUUAAUCUGCGAAUUGCAAGCCUGACGUGCUAUUGCAAUUUCUAUUCAGUCCAAAGCCAGCAAUAACAUAUGACGCAUUAGUAUCAUACAGACGCCCUCCCAGACUUUGUCUGGAUGAUUUAUUCUCUUCGUAUUUGCUAUUUGUUUAGUGAUUUCCUCAUUGAAUUCCCAAAUACUCUCGUAUAUAUAUAUAUUUUUUGGUUUUUCGAUUUCGAAACACAUGCAAUAGCACCAGUUACAUUUCUGAAUGCAACUUUAGGUCAACCUAUCAGUUUAUGUGUAUUUCUCGAGUUUAGGUAAAAUCGCACUAGACUUUGAAAUGUCCAUUUCAUCCGCUGCUAAUCUUUUAUUUAUUUAUUUUUGGCAUGUUGGAGAAUUAGCGAAAUUGCAUCCCUAUUUCCGAGAGGACUUUUUCUGCAUUUGAACGGCUUUUGUCUUUGAACCAACAAUGGUAAAAAAGAAAAUGGAGAAAAAGGGGAAUUUAACUUUGAAGAGGAAAUGAAACAAAGACAUGAAAUAAAUUGAAUUUAAAAAUUUUAUGUUGAAUUUGAAUUUACAAAUAAAAUUUAGAAUGUGAUCAUAAUUUUAAUUCAAAUUUGAAGUAAAAUUUAACUUUAAAAAUAAAUUUAAAAAUUAAAGUUAAAAUCAGAUAUAACCUCUUAAUUAAACUCUUCAUUUUUGGUAACUACCGAAUUUUUUGAACUGAAGUUAAAAAAGUAAAAUUUAAUUAUAACUCACUUUAUCAGGCCACUUUUAUAAAGUGGCUUCCAUAUACAUUUUCGUAAACUAAGUAAUUGAUAAGACGUUACUUUUUAAAAGUGCCAUUUUCGAUGCUUUAUCUUCAGCCAACCAAACAUGUCUUAAGAGUCAACCAUCAAUAGUAUGGUCAAAAACCGACUUUUUAGAAUUGAUUCGAUACACAUAGUCCACAUAUCUGAGGUUCCACUUAUUCAAUUCACAGAGAUAGAAAUGAUGUUGGCCAACAUUUACACAUUCUAGCGGUGGGUUUCGACUAAUUCAUGCGCAUUAGAUCUCAUUUUUAAGGGCUAAGCAGUUCCAUCCACCAGGCAUAGCCCAUCAAGGCGAGGAAAAUCAAGAAGGAGAAACCCGAGGAACCAACCACAAAGGGCCAAAAGAGGCCGUAAACAUGGUAGAAACUGCACGGCAAAUUCAUCGUGAAAGCCGAUGCGAUGUAUGUCUCAAGAGCUAUGCCGAAGGAUAUCACCGCUAGUAUCAGCUGGAGCUGAAUAAGUUCGUUACGCCGGUGGUCGAGUUGGAUGUUCAUGUAGUCCUCCGUGUCGUCGAUAUGUUCGCGAAUCUGUUAAUCCGAUAACAAGGAAGCAGGGUUAAGAAUGAUUAUAAACACGAAUAAGAGCACUUCAGUGAGAGUAAAAUCAGAGAAUAAGUAGCUACUCACCAACAGGAUCUUGUUGCGGGUUCCAUCCAGCUGCAUGAAAUAAGCCUCAAGCAACAUGUCCAGAUCCUCCACAUCAUGAUCUACGUAUAUACUUGUGAUAAUGCUUGCAUUACUCUGGAAAUUAGGGUUAUGUUUUGCGCUAUCUGUUCCAGCUGCAACAAUGCUAUUAGAAGCCCCAGAAGCCGUCAAGGCUUCGAAUUGCUGAUUCUGAAUCUGCUUCCUUGUUAAGCACAGAUGUGCCAUGUCUUCAUGAUCAUCUAAAAGAUGCUCAAUUUCAUCCUUAACCUAGCAAUCGAAAAUAUGCCGUGUUAACUUAAGGCAAGAUAAAUGAUUUACAAGCACUGUUAUGGCACUUUAGGGAUUAAAAAGAACACACAGAAAGUUGAACAAAAAUAACAGAAGAUGACAUACAUGAAAUGUCGUAAAAAGAUAUCCGGGAUAGCUACGAAAUGCAGACAAUAACAAGUUCACGCUUUUCGUCGAAAAAGAAAACAAAUUCGUGCCAUUACCACCGAAAGAGCAAUAGCUAAUAAAGGCAGCAUCCAAAGAUUACCUUCUGGAGACGUGCGAGCAAACGAGUAAGAUCGCCCUUCAGGCACCGCACCCUCUCGAGAUUCUUGUUGCUCACCUUCUUAGUUAGUUCAUCUAAAACAGGGUAGGCAGCUUUCUCGAGUUCAGCAGUCUCUGCGUCCAAGCAUGAGCAGACGACAUCCAGCGCAAUCUCCAGCACCUGGAACUCAAACGGCAGUUCCCGCUCGAUUUCAGCUGCCUCAACAGGAUUCUUCAUAGAGAAAUGUUGUCUCAGUUGAUCGACAAAAGGAAGGACUUCCUGAGACAGGGGAUCCAGCAACAGCACUUCUUCGGCAGUAACUACGGCCCUGAUGAAUUCAAGAUUCACAACCAUAGCUCUCUCCCGGGCUGAAACCGAGAAAAUAAAGGUGAGCAAAAUGAGGCAUGGAGAAUUUAAGAUCGCACAUAUGAGCGAUAGAUAGGUACCUCUACAAGCAAAAAUGAGUUAUUAACCUAAUGCAAUUCACAAUGGUAUUAUAUGUGUUCGGAAUAUCUGUUUCCUGCAACAAUAGCCUUAUCUGAAUUGAGUAAAAGUCCUCAAUUUAUGGCUUUUUUAUGCAAGAAUUGAGUUUUGGAAGGUAUGUAAGGAAAUUUGGAUUUUGCAGGAACUGAGCUUCAAAUUGUUCCAUAGAUGUGAAGAUUUUGAAUAAUAAUAAUAAAAAAAAGGCUCGGAUUGAAGGGUGUACGAGAGGAGGAGAAGCUCACCGAGAAUGUUGGAGGAGUAGGAGAAGAUGGGGCCGAGGAUCCGAAGGUCGCGCGCGGGGAUCCCCACGCGCGCGACGAUCGCGCCCUUGUCGAGCUCCACGAUCUCCGAGCGACCCGCGCGGCCGAGCCGCAUCCACAGCCGCGCCCCGCCCUUCCUCUUCGCCCCCUUCGCCGCCGCGGGGGGCGUCUCCGCCGGCGCCGGCGCCGGCGCUGGCUCCGAAGACCCUCCGCCGACGCCGCUCCUCCCGGCGCUCGACGCCGAGGUCGGCUUCGGAUGCACCGAUCCCCGCCCCGAUCGGUCCUUCUUCUUGGCAGAGGCCGCGGCGGGGGAGGAGGAGGAGGCGGAGUGCUUGCGCCGUCGUCGCAACAUGGCGGCGGCGGCGGCGGAUCGGGAAGAGGAGGAAGAGAACGGUUAGGGUUAGGGUUUGGGGGAGGGUUCGGCUUCGAUGGCGUGGGUUGUUCGAAUACUCCCUCUCGGCGAUCGCUACUCCUCGAGUAGGGCAUUGUGAGUAAGAAUUUAAAAAUGGAGGUGGCGGGGAUUGAGAAGAGCUUCUUCUUCUUCUUCGUCGUCUUCUUCUUCUUCUUCUCCGGAUGUUUACGUUCCACGUACAAACCACCCAGAGAGCGCCCUCCACCCUAUAAUGCCACUAAAUAAUCUUAAUUUAUUAUAUUUUUUAACUCGAAUUUUAUAAAUUAUUAUAAUCUAGUUAAUUUAAUCUAAGUUAAUUAAUUAAACAUUUAACGUAUUAUUCAUGUGAAAAUAAUAUGAUUUUGUAUGCAUUAUUACGCUGUCAAUUAUAAUAUUGUCGUCUGACUUUUAUACCAGUAGAACGUCAAUAUUUGAGCAAUUAAGUUGAUUUGUGAAACUUAAGCUUAAUUAUUUAAAAAAUUUGAGUAAAAAUUAUAAUAAAUUAAAGUUUAAAGAUUAAAGUGUUACAUGCCUCAUAUUUUGAGGACAAAUCAUGUAAUUUAGCUUUUUUUUUUUGUCCUUAAAACUUAUUUAGGAGUUGGUACACGCUGUUUUUUUAAGUGACAAAUUUUUGUUUGUUUUGGUAAUAUAUUGCGAAUCAUUGUCACCAAAUUAAAUAUAAUCAUUGUCCUUAAAUUAUUACCGACCGUCCCUAGAGCAAGUGGCAAAGGGUUUGAUGGUUGGUACCCGAGACCCAAGUUCGAAUCCUAGUUGAUUCACAUUUCUAGCUAAGUUUAUUUCUAAAUGAAAUAAACGAAGCGGGUAGCAUGCUACCUAUUUCUCAAAAAAAUAAAUAAAUAUAAUUAUUUUAGGAACUCAUUGUAUUUGUGGCGGAAUGAAUUUGCACCAUAAUGUUGUUAAUGAUCAUGAGCAGUGAAGAUAAAAAUGGAAUUUAGCUACAAAUGGUGAAUCAUUGAGGUCUCGGGUGAAAUAAAGGAAAAAAACAAAAACAAAAGGAAGGGAUUAUACCCCACAACCAAAACAUGUCAUCUAGUGCUGCAAAAUUCGGUCAAUUUUUUUUCAACGUCUCAAAUUCGUCUAACAGUUUUUAAAGAAUCCAAAGAUUGAUUUCUAAAUAAUAAUAAUAUAUAUUUUUUUCUCUAACUCAUCUAUCAACUAGCUGUUUACUUUAACUAGAUCUUUUGCUACUGGCCAAUAAUUACACUUUCCUAUGGGCUUUUUUAUAAAAUGAUCCUCCGAAAACUCGAAAUUAACAAAAUGAUCAUGCCAAAAUUUUAUUUAUAAAACUAAUCUUCUUUUCGCCACCCCUUUCUCAUUGGGUGUUUGUAAACACCCCUAACUUUGACUAUGGAUUACUGUAUGUGGAGGCGCCUUUCAGGACUUACAAAGGUGUUGAUAUAUAUGAUUUAAUCAAAUAAUAUACACAAGGUGAUUUAUUUUGUUAUAAAAAAUAAUUUAAAUGUCGAACUUGCUAUAUUAGUCUAGACUAGAUAUUUGACCACACUUCUAACGUGUAUUAUAUAAGAAGAUUCAUAUUGAAUAAAAAUUACUAAAUAACUUAUUUCAAUAUAUAAGACUACGAAAUAGUCUGACAAGAUAUUAUCCUUAGCGCAAGUGGUAAAGAAAUUAGUGGUUGGUAUCCGAGGUUCCAGAUUCGAAUCCUAAUUAAUUCAUAUUUCCAGCUAAGUUUAUUUCUAAAUGAAAUAAACAAAACGAGUAGCAUGCUACCUAUCUCUCUCUCUCAAAAAAAAAAAAAUCCCUAAUCUUAGCACAAGUAGACCGAAGAAGCAAUUGGUCAACGUCAAAUGCUAUGUUUUAAUUAAUAUUGAGACAAAAAAUUUGGUCAACAUUUUUUUUGGCUAAAAUAUAUUCUAUACGGAUAUCACGAUUUGCUAUUCUUUUUUAUUUGUCAUUUUAAAAAAAUUGUUAGUUGUUACAUCUACUAAAAAAAAAUUUAAUUUUACUUAUAAAGUAAGCGUUAUCUUUUGAAAUUAUAAGUGCGCUAAGUUAUUUCGGUCUACUUUGAAGAGAAUUGAGGUCGUUUUAUAAUAUAUAAAAAUCACAUUUUCUUUAAUAGUUAGGUAUUAAACUUCAUCAUGUGCAUAAGCUCAUGAAGCGUUUUAAGUGCAUGGACCAAGAAGCACUCCUGGGACAGUACAGGGAAUAUCCAUACAUUUGACCCAUUUCAUCAACACCGUUGCUAGUGAAAGUGAAACAUGUUCUAUAAUAGUUGUAUAGAGUGCAAUUAUUUUUGUAUUUCAGUCACUAUAAUUGUAGUUAUUUCGAAAAACUUGAUUUAGUAAUUAAUAAAUGUUUUUUUUUAAAGUAAGUAAACCUCUUGUGGUCUCAUGUGAGAGUAUCACUAUAAUAGAAGGCUAAAAAAAUAGGCAUAGCUUCUCUAUCGCCAUCCAAAAAUCUAUAUUAUAGAAACUCCUUUUGUCCCUCUUGUGUAACUUAUUAUCUCAAACGGUGUUGACUUUGCCAACCAAUUAAUUUAUAACUGAAUAUUCGUGAAGAAUUAUAAAAAAGUCAAACUACUAUCUUUACAUUUCUAUGUAUUUAAAGAGAACAAAGAAGAUGGAGCAGCAUAAUAAAAACAAUUAAGCCUUAUAUUAUAGAAACUCAUUUUGUCACUCCUUUCUCCCUUAUUAUCUCAACAAGUGUUUACUUUUCAAACCAAUUAAUUCAUAACUAGAUAUUUGCGAAGAAUUUUAUGAACAUGUCAAACUACUUAAACCUAUCGCAGGUUUAUCUAUUUAAAGAGAACAAAGAAGAUAGCGCAGCAUAAUAAAAACAAUUAAGGCCAGUUUGGAUGUCAGAAUAAAUUAUGUAUAUUCUAUUUGGUAUACAAAUUUUUCUAUUGUGAUUAAUAGCUCAAAAGUGUUUUCAAAUGUCUAAAUUAGAACAUCAUAUUUGACCUUUAAAUUAGUUUUUCAAAAUAAAAUAAAUCAUUUCAGAAAUGUAAAUACUAUCCUAUCAAAUUAUGAGUAUCAAGAUAUUUCAAUAAGUAAAAUUUAAAACUCCUACGCUUUAAUUACAUUAAAAAAAGAUUUUAGGGACAUCCAAACAAAGCCUAAGAAUUUAAUGUCAUUGCAACUCAUUUACUAAAUGUAAUUAUUGACACAAAUGAUUCACCGAGUUGGUAAAUAAUAUGCCUCUUGGGCUUAGACGUUGACGCACGUGCCAACUUCGCCGCAGAAACCAUGAGCAUAUGAGUAAAAACUAUACAGAGUUUAAUCUAAGUUAGGGUGCAGUGGCCCAUAGAUAACAAGGAGGAUCAAAAAUCAAAAAUGAACUUAACAUGGCAAUCGUGAAAUUUAAAGCUAGUAAAAGCUACAUUACAAUCAAUAGCUGAAGAAACAAGAAAAAGAAUUUACAAAAGAAUAGCUCAAACUGCACAAGUGUCCUCUGAAACCCAGAAAACCAAAAGAGGAGGGAAAAAAGAGCAUCAGCAGGUACAAUCAAAAGGCAAUAGUAACACCUCUCCCCCUAAUCAUUGAUUCCAGCGUCGAAAUUCUUAAAAGAUAAGCAUUUUGAUACUCUCGCCGAAGAAGAAACUCCCUACAUUAUUGUACAGUUGCAUUUUGAUUCCAACUUCGGGGGCUUCAUACUGUCAACUUUCUUUGGAACUUCACUAGAGAAAGGCGCAGAACAAACCAAAUUCUCUGCAUUCUCUUGUAAAUUCGAAGAUGGUGUUUUCAUAUCCGUUUCCAACCUUUUCCUUUUCACCACGCAGUUUUUGGGGACACAUUUGGCGGAUUCUGUGUGUAAAUUGUCCUGUGUAAACUUUCCUAGAAUAGUAACAGUUGGGCGAGGAGCCUCCAGUGAGGUCAGUUCCUUUUCCAUACCAAUGGUUGCAGCUUUAUACGCAAGAUCGUGAAUGAUAGAACUGCAGAAGAGUACAGUGUCGGUUGCUUCUUCCAAUGUGAAGCUUCUCCGGAUUUGUCUCCUCGGCCCUUCAGCCAUAGUAGUUGACUCUUCUGUAAGAGUUGAAGGGAAAGUUACAUACUACAACCAUUUCCAUAUGGGUAUAGACAAGAAAGGCAGUGAUGACUAAUAUGGAAAUAUAUAUAUGUUUGGAAACUUUUUUCGACAAAUUUAUAAAGGAACCAUGAUCAAGAGAAGAUCGAACUCAAGAAGCAUUAUAUAAAUAUGUUAUAAAGGAUCAUUAUCGAAAGAGGUACUUAGCGAAAACUGAAAUUUCAAGAAUAUGGUUAAUCACAUUCAAUUUAAUACAUACCAUUGAUGUUGUGAGGAGCCUUGGAAAUGUUAGAUUCCUCUGCAGAAAGCAACACAUCCUUCUCGGAUGUGGUCGAAUCACAAUUUUCACGCGACAUAUCCACGUUACUGAAAUCCUGUGAUUGUUCAAGCUCUGCUUGUGAAUUCUCAAGAAUGAUGUGAUUACUUAAUUGCUCUAGGACAGCGACGGAAGAGAAGGAUGCCUCGUCAUGAUUCAGUUUUGUGCUUGGUAAACGACCUUCCUCAAGGAAAGAAGGUUGCGAGAUUAUACUUGAUUCUUCUUUAUCUGGAUUCCGAGAUCUCGUGUUACAUAAAACAUCUUGAUUAACAAUACUGCACGUAGUUUGGUCAUCAAAAACCAUAUUAUCUGGUGCUGGUUGACUUAUUUGUGAGUCAGACACGUUCAGAUUCAUACAAGCAUCCUCAGAAGCAGAUGUUUCUUGAUCAACAACGAAUGUUCCGACAGACGAACAAUUUGGAGCACUCAGCUCCGCAUUACCAAAAGUGUCAUUAAGUUCUUCAGUUGAUAACAUACUCAUUUUUGAGGCCCUUUUUCCUACAUCGUCUAUAUAAUCAAAGUCGUCAUUGAUGUCACUUUUUGGGAAAAUUGGCGCAGAAGAACUGCUAAUCGACAUAUCUGACACUGAACUGGUGCUUUGACCACUUAAAUAGUUUCUCUGUUGUGUAUGGUGAUGAACCCAAACUUCUGUCUGCUUAAAUGAUCCCAAAUCGACAGAAGAUGAAGCUGAAGAACUGCCAUGCUCUAUGCUGCGCUUCAUGACAGUCCUGUUAUUUCUCACAUAGGACUCAGAAAAAGGUAAAUUUGUGGCAACAAAAGCCCUUCCUUGAAAACUAGGCCACUUGCUGCUGCUUGAGCGUUGCAUUAGAAGUUCCGAGAUACCUUUACCACCAAUAUCAGUUUGGCUCUUCAUUAGGUUUUCCAAAAGGUUUUGCUCGCUUGUACGUGUAGUCGGUUCUAUCUGUUGGAUUCUGCCACCAUCCUGAGGUUCGGAACUAGUCACUUUGCUCUGACUUUGUGGUCCAGAACCAAAGUUAAUUUGUGGGAUUUCAUCUACAAUCUGCCCAUCUAAUUGCCCCUCUUUAAAUUCCGAUGAACUGCUUUUGGAUAGAAGUACAGUUGACAAUUCACUGUUCCUUUCCCGAUGCUCAAUAAAAGCAUCAUUGCUAUCUCUUGCUGAGGAUUCGAGAACUGGUGGAAGUUGCACUUCACUGGAUCUUUCAAGUACAGAUGGCAAUUCGGAUUGAAUUAUCGCAUUCUUAUUAAUAAGUGAAGUGGCAUCAGGUUCCGCAGCAACGACUCCACCCUUCUCAGAACAUUCUUGACAAACAUUUGUAUCACCAUACAUUUCCACAAUGCUAAAUUUUUUUCUACAUAUAGAGCAAGUUACUGUUUUUCCGCAGAUAUCAACUUCAGUGGCUGUUACUUGAUCAACAUCAACUGCAGCAUUUUCCUGGUCUUCUAAUUUGUCUGUUUCCAUGCUGUUUAGAGUCUUUACUGUAGAGAUACUGCGAUUUGUAUGUUCAUUAUUAAGCUCAUCCACCUUGUCAAAGAUAAAUACUUCCUCUUGGAUAUCAGGAUCUUCUGUCUUUUCCCAACCAUGUUCAAUAUAAGGAGUGACGGCAGGACCAUGAUCAGCGCUAGCAGUGCUGUUUGCUGUGAAUGACGAGUUCUUUGAGAACAAAGGAUGCUGCAUAGUAUCUGUUUUCCCAACACCAAAUGUAGUGGCAGGAACGCUAGAUAAAAGUGGCCUGAACAUAUUUUGAGGAGCUUUUCUUUGUUCCUAGAGAAACAUAAGUAGAACAUCUACAUUAAGGAUGUUAAAUGGUUUAUGAAAAAUGACAUUAAGAACAAAUCUCGUAGAAAGUAAAUAAGAUAAUGCAAGAAUUCAGUAAUUCAAGAAAAGAGAAAAAUAGAUGAAACAGCAUAAUAAACCCUACCAUCAGUCUAAGUGCAGAAUCGAAAGAACUUUUUGGUGCGGAACUAGCAGAAGAGUUUCUUGUCGGUUUUGAUGAUAGUACAGCUGCUCUGCUAUGCAUCUGAACAGCAAUUUUUCUUGUAGAAUGGUUGCUAGAAAUUUCCACGGGAACAGAGUGCAGAGAGUCCACUUCAUCAUCACCAGAGGAUGUGACAGAAGCUCUACUAUGCGAACUUAAACGGUCUCGCUCAAGACUAUGUGAUGAGCUGGCACUUCUAGUUCUAGAUGGAGUUGGCGACAUCGACUGUCUUCUAAAUUUUGAACUCGAACCUGUCCCACUUCCAGAUGCAGGGGACAAACCCCUUGAACGUGAUACAGGCCGGUCUGGAAGAACAGUUCGAAGAUUUAGUGGUGCAUCUGAGGAGAAAUGAGGAAGACUUGAUUGCCAACUUUGAAAUUUUGGUGAAGCAGAAUUUCCACGACUAGCUUUUAUGGGGGAGGUUCCUCUUUUCCCAGAGGAAAGUGCUUGACCAGUUGAACUGGUGCUUGAAAUGCGUAAAGUGGGAGUUGAAGACCUUGGUGUUGACGACUUAGUUGGGGGAGUGGAAGGUCUUCGUGAUGGUGUCGAUGCUCGUACAGAGGGAGACGGGCUAGAGCGAGAAGAUGAAGAUGGUCUUGUUCCUGGAUUUACUACACUACUAUUAGAGCAUGGAGAUGGGCUUAGUCUGCGUGGACUUGUGCUGCUCCUACUUGUCCUAUGACCCUUCUCAAUCUGUCAGCACAGAAACAUAGAGCACCCAUGGUAAAAAUCCCAAACAAACAAAUCACAGUAGGCUGAAGUGUGAAGAACGGAUGAUAAAUAAUUGAUCAUUACUGUAGAUGAGCUUGAAAGCGGUAUAGGUUGACUUCGUAGCCUGCCCCUAGGGAGCUGGCUAACUGAUCGGGGCUCUUCAUCAUCCAACGAAGGAAAGAGUGGAGUAUCAGGGGGAGUCAAAAGCCUGUAACGUAAGAAGAGAUAAUCCUUUUACUUCUGUAAAACAUCAGUUUAUCAAAUUGAAGCACAGUUUUUCUCUAUGCAGUUAACUGAGUUCACUUUAAGGUGAAUGCAUAUAGCGUAGAAUCAGUGCAAAUUCUGAGUAAUUAAAAGCCUGGUAACACUUCACAUAUUCUAAAUAUCACACGAAUGAACACGAUUUUAAUCAAAAAGGGAUCAUGCAUCAUAUACAUCUAAAAAGUACUACAGCAAGAAUAAUAACUCUCAGAAGCCUGUUCUAGAAGGAACUCACCAGUCAUAGUCAUUUUUAUCACCAUCUGCAUUAAGCAGAUCAUUCCUAUCUCCUCGAGCUGGAAUAUUGAUGCCAAGCUUGAAAUCCGAAAAGUAUCUCAGUUUCGCUGAUAUAUAAGAAGCCAGGAAAAAAGGAACAGUAAAUAUCCAGCAAUAAGAAGUGCAAUUUGCACUGCAGGUGCAGGUCCCCAACCUUUCAGGGAAGUAUCGAUUUGGUCCCUAACCUCCCAGUUGUCACAAUUAGGCUACCCUAUCAUUUGCAUGCUGUUGCAAUCUAACCCUUUCAAUUUAAUUCCUCCACAAAAGUGGAUGAGAGCCACAUACGAAAAGAACAAAGUUACAUGCUUGUUAGAUGAUGAUUAUGCUGAUAUUUCUAUCCAACUUGAGAGAUUACUUUAGCCAGAAGAGUAAGAUUGCUAAGAAAUCUAAAGAUUAGGGCCUCCAAUUGUAGCUAAUGAAAGAUCAGGGGCUAAAUUAAUAAUACAACUAACAGUUUGAGGGCCCCUGGUGUGUUAUACCCAAAUAAGAUUUGAGCAAGAAAAAAAAGAAUUGAGUUUGUGAAUACUGAAUGGGUACAGGCGUUACAUAUGGACUCAUCAAAAUCAUCUGAUGUGUGGAGCAAGAAGUUACUCCUUUCUCGAUUCUGCAUAUCGGUGAACAAGGCAAGAUCAUCAUCUUUUGCCUUAACGGCCAGUCCACUCUCAAAGCUGAGACCCCUCCUAUGCGUAGUCGCCGGCCUGCGAUCCCUACUGGGGGAGAACUUCAAUUGGUGUGAUGGUGGCAUCUUUCGCAACCGCACGAAUCAGCCCCCUUUAACGGAAAACUUACUAGUCUCCUCCUCCGUCACAAACCACAAAUCCCGUGAAGUUGUAAUCUUGCACCCAGAAUGAGCUAUCUAGCAAUUCCGAUGCCAUGACCUGUAAAACAUAACCGCGAUUAUUGCUCCAAGGUAAGGCAAAAGGCAUGACAAAAAUAACGUAAAUAUGAAAGAAACAUACAAUAACCUGCAAUAUAAUUAGGCCUUCAAUUUGUUUCCAAACAUUCAGUUGGUUUUCGCUCCUUUCAACAAUUAUUUUAAGAAUUUGCCCUUUCAAACAGAUAUUUUCUAAUCAAAAUUAAAAUUUGAAAGGUCUCAUCACAUCUCAGGCAAACUACGGACCAAAGCAACGAACCAAAAGACCAAAACAGUUAAAAAUUGGAACUUUUACCGACCCAUUAAACAAAACCACUAACCUACGCAAGCAGCGACAAAAGACUAACAGUAAAUUGUAGUGAAUUACAAAAAAACAGUAGCGAUUCUGUACCCAAUUGCAGUAAAAAUGCUCACCAAACAACCAAUUCUCUCUCGCAAACACCAAAGAGAGUUCCCAACUCACCAUUCCCACACCACAGCAGCUCCCGAUCUCCUCCACCGAGCUCCCCGCGCCCCCUCCUCCCCCUCCCCCCGUCCCCCCUGCGGGGGGGCCGCCACUUCCUCCUCAAUCCACAAGCCCGAGCACCGCGAGCGCGAAUCCCCAGGCACUCGGCUCCGGUAGCGGGGAAACCGCGAAGCGGCAAGGGGAUCGAGCGCGGGGGUGAAAGGGUUACCAAAACCCUAGCUCGUCAGAGUACAAUUUGCAGCGGUAGGGUUAGCUUUACGAACAAGAAGAAGACGACGAUGAGCAAGAGGACAACUAGGGUUUCCUCUCUCUCUCUCUGUCUCUCUCUCUCUCUCUUCCUUUUCCCCUCUUCGCUAUAACUAACGUUUCCUCGAAGGAAAGCGCUCUCACUCUCUCUCUCUCUCUCUCUCUCUCUCAAACACAGCAGAGUUUCGCAGCUUUUUGCUCGCUUCUGCUCUCUUCUGUAGCGGUUUUCGUAUUUCUCAUUUUAUUCAUUUAUUAUUUAUCGGCUAACUUAUACUUUUAGUCCUUAAACUUAGUAUGUUGACAUUUCGGUCCUCAAAUUUUAUUGAUUAUAAUUUUAAAGAUCAAAGUUUAUACAUUAUUGUAAUUAAGUGUUACAAUCUAAAUUAGUUGAUAAAAUAAUAUAAAAGUGACGUGAUAUUUUAAUUAUUAUUAUGUUAUUAAUUAUAAUACUGCUACAGCACUUUUAUUUAAACGACAUAUUAAUAUUUAGUUAAUUAAAAAAGAAUGUAGAAUUUAAUUUUAAUAAUUCGAUCUAAAAUUAUAAUAAAUUAAAAAUGUGGAUACCUAAAAGUCACGUUUCUUAUAGUUUGGGAGAAAAGUGUAAUUUAGCCUAUUUAUUUAUUUAUUUUAUUUGUAUUUUAAUUAUUGCGGCUAUUCGGAUAGAUGACGCUGAUUUUACUGAAAUACCCUCUGAUGGGCAGGGAAAUUACGUGGGUGAUUAACUGAUUUAGCGGGGGAUCUGUGGAUCCACCGUGUCCGACUCUUGUCUCACACGUGGUGGUUCGCAAUUGGAUGAUUAAUAAACGAAAUCAAAAUUCUUUUUUUUUUUCCUGCAUUUUGUGCUGUGGACCGUAGUCAACUGUACCUUUGAGUUAAUUUAUUCGGUUUUAACUGACUGUUCCUAGAGCAAAUGGCAAAAGGCUCGAUGGUUGAUACCCGAGGUCCCAAGUUUGAAUCCUAAUUGAUUUAGAUUUCCAACUAAGUUUAUUUCUAAAUAAAUGAAAUAAAUGAAGCGGAUAGCGUGCUACUUAUUUCAAAAAAAAAAAAAUCAGUUUAAAUUUCAUAUGUUGUUUGGUAUUUUAAAUUAUGUUGUAUCGAAUAAAAUAAAAGAGUAAAAUUUCUAGCUGAUUUAAAAUUUUAUUAGAAAUUUCAUAAAUCUUAAGUUUCAAUCUAAGGUUCAGAGUUUUCAACUGGUGAGGUUUUUAGGGUUUAGGAAUACCUACAGACAUCGUCAAAGAGAAAAUACAAAAAAUAAAAAGGAACCUAGGAAAGAGAUGGAUCUCAUGGUAUAAGAGUAUUCGACAAGAUUUGCGAAUUUUAAUUCUGUGCAAUGCCAAUCUCCUAAAAUAGUUUCUUCGUUGAUUGGCAAUUGAUAAGCGUCAUUCGCUUCCGUUGCGUGUUAGUCUCGACCUAAAUUUUCAAGCAUGUCGAUUUGAUGAUGGACGCUUAGGUCCAAUUCUCAGAAGUUAUGACGUUGAACCAAGCACGCUGUUGCUUCAAUUUGGUGGUUGACAUUGGUGGUUGAUAUAAACAUCUUCAAAUUUCAACAUGGACCUGAUCCAAAACCUAAAAUCUCGGAGAAUAGCGGUCUCUAUAUUCAUGAAAAGAUUUGAUAUAUUGCAUUUGCAGCUUUGGUUGGAGCAUCACACUCCGCCCCAUGAGUGGCUUCUCUCCUUUUUCUCCGCUAAGACCGGUUUGUAAGGACUCGAUCAAUUUAGAUUUGUAAAACUUUUAAAAGAGCAUCGCACUUGAAUCUUUGAGCUUAGUCAAUCAGUUUCGCAAUAUUUUUCUUUUUGGUUUUUCAUAUAGAGAUCCUUUAAUGAUCAAUUUCUUCGUAACAAAUAUACGUAGGUUAGUCUAAGUUCGUCAGUGCCAUAUAUAAUAUAGCGAAGAAGGAUCUACUCUACGUAUACCUUUUUGUGUUGAUGUUUAUUUUGUUUUCGUGCUUUAAAAUUGAAGAAUUCCUUGAAUUGAUAAUUCGAUCGGUAGUCGUGUCUUCGGCGUCUUCUCGCCUACUCUUCACUGGAAAUGCAGCAUCAAAUGCAAACUUUGUUCUACACACAUCAUCUGAGCGAACUUUAGAGACGAACUCUUAUUAAUGACUAUAAAUUGGGCGUUCUUUUGUAAAUCCAUACCUACCUUUCAUGUCCGAAACAAAUCCAAAUCAAUUUUGUGUCAACCUCAUGAAAACGAGGUUGAUACAGGUAUAUCACCACCCUAAUACGUACAUUCAGAAAAGGAUCAUUCCUCAUUUAAAGGAUCAUUAUAGGAAAAGUUCGGAGUGAAUUUUCAAAAAUCCAAACCCGAACCUGAACCCGAAUCCGAAUUCGACAUAUUUUAAAACUCCGAACCCGAACCCGAACCCGAACCCGAACCCGAACCCAUAUCCAUAUUUCUCUUUAUAAUAUUUCCAAAUAUUUAUAUUAAACCUACAAUUUUAAAAUACAAAUUCAAAUACAACAUUAAACACACACACGCACAUAUAUAAUGAAAAAUAAUUUCGAAUUUGGGUUUGGAUUUGAGUACAAUCAAAAUCCAUACUCGAAUCCAAAUCGGUCGGAUUUCUGUUCUAGAUACUCAUAUUCGAAAUUAUAUCCAUUUAGUAUUAGAUAAAUACAUUUCAUUCAGAUUCGAAUUUGGAUAAAAUUUCGGAUAUCUAUAUCCAUCGACAUCCCUAGCUAGAAAAGAAUAACGUAAUGCAUGGAAGGUACAAAUUUUCAAUCAUUCCUUGUUUGUUUAUAAACCUCUUUCCUUGUAAGUAUUAUCUUAAAACCAGUAGGGGAGAGCUUUCAUUGGAGGUCAAAUCCUCUCACUCAACAUUCCAUUUGAACCACCAUUUGCCCAUCCAACAAGUCGAUAUAAAUUCAUGGUAGUGAUUGAUGUAUAAAUACGUGAUCAAAGAUGUAACACUACAUGCACCACAUGUAAGCGAAAGGAAAGUGAUGUUAAGUAAUUAGGUCAAUUUUACUAUACACAGAUCAGAUAUAUUAAAUCCAAUCAAAUUUAGCUAGCCAAAAUCAGAUCUACUAUAAUUAAAAAAGUGUUAUGACGAAUUGCGCGAAAUGCUUAUUUUGUCCCUACCAUGUUUAUUUAUUUAGAACUCCUAUGCACAGAUGCUUGACAAGAUCGCUUAGAGGGCGACGAUCGAACAUGUGUUUUAUUGAUCCUCCGAAAUAUGACCAAUAUAGUAAAAUCAAAGUUUUGAAUUAUUCAUAGAUUCAUCAAAAGCUCAUUUCAACUUUUAAUUAGUUACGCUAAAAACCGCUUCCUUUUAUUUUUUUUUUUUGAGGGCAUUCAAACUAUGUUUGUUGAUGAACUUAGAGAAUUGGUUGCAUAAAAACUAUCGAAUAAGAGCUUAAUUAAUUUCUACCACAAAGGGUAAGAGAAGGAAAAAUAGGAUAAGGAAGAAGAAGAAGAGGAGGUGAACUGUAGCCAUCUUUCAUAGUCCCCUUCCCCUACAUAAAGCCAAAAUUAAUUGGUUCGUGUCCAUUUUAUAUCUUGUGAUUUAGGAAAAUGUAUUCUACUCAAACAUCAUGCAUCUUCAUGUAGCUUAGGCCAUGAAAUUCUCUUUUGAAAUUCUCCAUUAAUUUGUUAUGGAAGCAACUAAUUAGUCUGUUUUGAGCACUCCUAAUAUUUUUUCCAAAAAGAAUCGACUUGUAAUUGUAGCUAUGGUUAGAGUAAAAAACUCUUUGUAGGGGUUGUGUCAUGCCCCGAGACCUGCCUUUUUGGUCGGAUUCGGGCGCGUCGACAGACCGCCGAACGGAUAGAGUCUUUCCUUUACGUUCAAGGUGUUGCAACGGUACAAUUCAAGUGGUUCCAAUCAGGAACAGAAUGCACAAACCAAUUGCAUAAAAAAGAUAUCAAACAUAAUUACAAGCUAUUACAGAUUGAUUAGAAGCCUAUUUUGUGACCAUUUUCCAGAAAUAAAAUUACUUUUUUUGCGACCAUUUUUUGUGGUUGAUGAGCACUGUAAAUGGCCUACAUGUACAUAUCUUUUUACCCUAUCAAGAGGAGAAUAACACUACUCUUUUCCACCAAAAAAAAGAGAAACAGUAGAUUAUAAGUAUACAAAUAAAUAAAUAUGAACUAUCAUAAAAACUCCCUCAUGGUAAAUAGAUAUAUUUGCCUGUUUUUUGGAACAAUAUUUCAUCUGAAAAGCAAAAGGUUAAGAUAAAACUAACAAAUAGAAGUACCGAAGUUUUCCACUAUGUAGCUCAUCAAAAAUUGACCUCUAGACCCUAAAAUAAACAUUUUGAAUUAGACUUCUACUAUACUUUUUUUGACAUUAUCACAAAAUUUAAAGAAAAAAGUUGUUAAUUAGUACUUUUUUUUGACAAUUCUAUACAUGAAAGAAGGGUAAAAAUUAUCAGUACAUAAUUAUUUUAUCUCAUAUUCAUUUACUUUUGUUGCACAUAUUAUAACAUGAAGUGUACAAUCCAACACCUUGAAAGCUAGCAAAUCACUUUAGAUAAAAAGAAAAAGUAAAAAAGAAGAAGAAGAAGAACUUAUCCAAUCCAUUAUCAAAAAAAAAAAAGGAUUGAGUUUUCUUUGUUUAUUUCUUGUUUCUUCUUUUCACUUUUUUCCUUUUCUUUUUUUUUAAGGUGGGACUAGUUUGGAAAUUUCCUAUGACAUGAGGGGGAAUCCUUUUAGGACUCAAAAGAAUAGCAUAAUGAAGAAUCUAUUAGAUGAAACAAAAAGGAUUAUGGUUUCAUUAAACCAUGCUUAACAACCACUUUAGCUUAAACAAUAUCUAAAGUCUCCAUUAGAUUCUUCAACACCCAUAAAAUAAUCACACAUAAUUGGCAUGGUCAACAAUACUUGCAACAUUUUUUCCUUAAUUUUGGUACCAUUUACUUGUUCCUUAUAUUUAUAUUCAUCCAUAUCUCAAAAGAGGUUAAGAGAAUAAUUAUAUAUAGAAAAAAAAUAUUAUUGGGAGAUGACCCAUGUACUUUUUAAGCAACCACCAUUUUGCUAGUUGAGAUUCUAUUUUAAGAUAAAGCAAUAAUGAUUCGGCAUUUAUUAGUCUCUUAGAUUGCUUUGCUGAUUAGCCUUCUACUUAAAAGAGUCAUAUAAUUAAUGUGUCUCUUCGAUAAUCAACAAUUCUCAGAUUAAUUAUACCAUUGCAAACUAAAGAAGCUACUCCAAAAGUUGAACCAAGCGCACGUUGAUGUACUAAAAGUGAAAAAGCUAAUUUUCACAUAAAAACACCACAUGUAUUUAAAUAUUUAAGAUUAUAAUAAAUAAGGAGUUAAAAAUUUUAUUUUACAAAAAAGUGGCUAUUUUUUAGGAAAAGCAUAGGACGGCCGCGCAAUAUUAUUAUAGUACAGGGACUAAGUUAUAAAGUUGGGUCCGGUUGGCUUUGCCAUUCUUUCUUGAACCAGGGCCGGCCCGGACCGGCCCGGAUGGACCGCUUUGGACCAGAGUUUGCAAAAGGACCUCGUUUAGGACCAAAUUUGGCCGGCCCGGCCCAAAGCGGCCCAUUAAUUAGGGUUUUAGCGGCCUAGCUCGAACGCCACCGAACCGCUCGAAGCGAUCAAACGAAGCGUCCGCAACCAAUGUUCUCCACCGUGCGAUCGCGUGCUCUCUCGUCCCUCCCAUGGAGGCUCCCGCUAGGGUUUCUCCGCUCCUCGUCCUCUUUCGCCUCCUCCUCUGCGUCGAAUCUAGGGCUUCUUGAGCUCGGCGAGGUGGAGAAGGUGCUCGGCGACGUCAAAGCCGAAGACGUGCGGGUGAUCCCCGUGCGCGACCAGUGCGAUUGGACCGAUUACAUGGUCAUCGCCACGGGGCGAUCCACGUGGCACGUGCGCAACAUCGCCCAAGCCCUAAUCCACAAGGCAGGUUCGAUUUCCUCAUCCCUGGUGUGUCGAUCGAUUCUCGGUGAUCCGGAAAACCCUAGCUCUUCAAUCUUUUGGUGUUGCGGGUGUGAUUUGCAGUGAUAAACAUGAUGAUAUAGCAGCUGCAAUUUAGUGGAACAGAGUGUAAAAAAGUUCAAAUUUUUGUGGAGAAUUCUUUCUAGUUUGAGAUUUGAAUGAAUGAGACCUGAUGCUACUGUAAAAUGCACCAAGAGGAGGCCAUUUUUAGAGAAGGAUGAUGACAUGUGUGACAAAUUUGAAGGAUAAAGAUCACGGCUAUACUAGCUCACUGGGUUAACUGGGUUCUCCUUUCCAGCUAGAGUUGAAGUGUAACCUUAAGGGUGCAUUUGGUUCGCAUUAUGAAAGAUUACUAGGAAUAAAAGAUAUCUAAGAAUCUUAUUCCUAUUCAUCUUAUUACUAAGAAUGUGGAAUUCUUGUGUUUGGUUCGCACGGUAAUAUUAAUUAGCCAUGUUAUUUAAUAUUACAAAAAAUAUACAAUUAAUUAAUUUAUUUAUUUAAUUAAUUUUAGAUAAUGUUAUCAAAAGUUUCAACAUCUUUUUAGAAAAAAGUGAGAGAGAGUAUAAGUUAGAGAGAGAGAGCAUAAUUAAAAAAAUAGAAAGAAAAAUAUAGUCGAAAUUAGAGGGAGUGAGAGAGUUGAAAUUUUAGAAAGAGAGAGAGAGAGAGAAAGCUUAGUUUAGAGAGAAAAAAAAAAAAGUUGAAUUUUAGAGAGAAAAAUAAGUUUAGAGAGAGAUAUAAGGUUAGAGUGUAAAGAAAAAUAAUAUCAAUUAGCUGGCGGGUAGGAAGAAAGAAAGAGAUUAGAUAUAUUAUGAUUAUCCCAAUCCAUUAAUAUGAGGAUACCCACCCUCCCUCAAAUGAAUGAGAUUAGUACUUUGGGGUGAUUCUUAUUCCCAAGUGAAUCUAAUAUUACCAACUAGAUUACUUAGUGCGUUUAGCCAAAUACCGUCAUAUUUUUUUAUUCACAUUGGAUUACUAGUAAUCUGUAAAAGAUAGCGCGAACCAAACGGACCCUAAGUUCAUCUAGCUGGUAAUGACAUAGAUUGCCACAUGUAUCCGGGAUUUUGGAUUACUAAGCUUCUUUCAUAGUUUUUUCUUUUUCUUGAUUGUUUUACCAUUGCAUUAUAGAUUUCUACUUUCUCCAUCUGGUCGAUCACAUAUCAGAAAUUUGUCUAAUUGUCGAUAUUCACAUGUAUAACCAAUUUAAUCAUUGUGGUCUUACUGUUUUUGGUCAAUUGGUAAUUAUCAGGUAAAACAGAAGCAGCAGGGGUCUGAACGAUUACUGCUUCCUAGCGUAGAGGGUCAUGCAGGUGGAAAGUGGAUUGUCAUAGAUUCUGGUCAGUAUCUCAUUCACGAAGUUGCUAAUGGAUCGUCGGCUUUAGUAGUAAUUGGCUGUUAACAGAUUAUAUUUUUGCCUUAAGAAAUGGAGAUCUUACUUGACAUGGUAUUCUGGUUUGUGAGCAAUGUGGUUCACCGUAGCAAGAUGUUAUUUUUAUAGAAAAUGCACUUUCUUCAGUAUUCGAUUCUUUAAUUUGUAUCUCCUUCUAAUCUUCCAGGUACAGUGAUUGUUCAUGCGCUUGAUGAGAAGGCAAGGGCAUACUAUAAUUUAGAAAGUCUUUGGACAAAAGAGAUGUCUCCCAAGAGUCAGAACCAGGUUUGUUUCGAAAGCAUAGAUUUUAAUUGAUGAUGAUGUAUACAUGUUGAAUUGCUUUUGUUAUGACCAUUGUUCAGUUUAAGGUGUUCUUCUUCUAUUUGAGUUGCCUAACGUUUUUAUAAAAUUGUCAAAUCGUUUGAAAGGUUUCCUAUGAUCUCUUCUUGUAAGGAAACAAGGAAAGUAUUCGUGCUUCUUUGUAGAGAUUUUGAAGAGGAAUUUGGGGUGGUGGUAUAGUGCUGUCUGCAACAUGUAUGUGAUGCGUUUGCGUUAUUUUACAGAGCCUCGCGCACUGAGUUCUAGCAUAUAAAAAGAAUCAAUCCAUCUUAAUUUGCUUAGACUCAAAUUAGUGUAGGGAUCUUGGUACAUUUUAUAGUAGGCUGGGUGUUUAAUUUUCACAAGACAAGCAAUUUAAGGGACUUGGUUGAAUAUUUUAGCGGACACUUGGACAUAUUGCUUGUGCUCUGUUUUGAUGUAUCCUGUUGUCCAAAAGCCACAGAAUUCUUGAACGGCCUUGAUCAGCUUUGGAUCUAAAAGCACACUAUUCGUAUCUUUCUCCAAUUUUCAAACUGUUUCCUUAUUGUUCUCUUACCGCCUUAACUACAGCUGACUUUAGAACCAGACAAUGUUUUAAUCGGACUACAUGUAUUGCUACAUCAUUUACCUAAUUUCCUGGUUUUCAACCUACUUAAAUGGUAAACCUAACAGCAUCAUUAAUUUCGUUUGCAGGAUCUAGAGAAAUCGAUUGUUAAGACUCGGCGAAGGGACAAAUCAGAGAAACCCAUGAAGAGUGUCUAAACAAAAGUGUGUGAUCGAAUUCCGCUCUUUGACGUGUCUGUUUGAAAACAGUUCAGCAGCACUCUCUGAUUUGUAUUGUUGUGGUUUCUUAACUGUUGGAACUUUCGUUGUACUUUCCUCUGUUUGAUUAGUGUAGAGGAUGGUGAAUUUAUGAUUUGCCGUGUUCAGUACAUACCAGUGCAUAUAUUCAGCUGAAGCUUGACCUCUUGAAUUCUCUUUCUUAAUGCACACACCAAUACACUGGAUAAAAUCAAAAUGUGAUUGAAUUCAUUUUUGUUUCUCAAGGGGUUACUGCAAAAUUCUUGUUGGCGCUUUUGGUGAUGAUUUGGUUUAUUAAUAAUCCUUUAUUUGUCGGAUUGAAAUUUGUAACUCAAACUUCAAUUUAUGACUCAAAACUUAGAAGAUGAAUAAUUUACGUAAUUUUUAGUAGCUGAUUAUGAGAGCAGAUAUCGAUUUUAUGCGUUGUGUUGUUCGUCUCAUCUACUACUGGAUAAGGAUACUCUGCAUUUCCAACUGUCUAUAUGAGGCAUAGAUUGCAAGGAGACCGAGAGAGAUAAGGUGGUUGAAGUGUACACACCUCUCUAUUAUAGACUUGCUGGCCUUUUGGAAAUUGGAAAAGUAAAAAGAUGCAAGUAUGGCUUUCAGUAGGGGAGCAUGUCAUUCUUCAUGAAAGGGACAAUGCAACAGAAUCCGUCAUACGUCUAGUUUUUAUGUUUUUUUCUUUUCUUUUCUUUUUUCGAUUGCGUGGCACGCGGGCAUCCAGAAUUUGAGUGAAUAGGAUAUCAAAGAGCGCAAUGUUGGUGUGGGGUAUAUUUAUCGAGUGUUUAUAUAGCGAUUCGUAGGGUAGGUACACGGAGUCGUGGAGAGGUUGGAACUGUCAUCCCUAAAGAUUGAGAUUGAACAUGAUUGGAUUUGAAAAUUUUCCAAGUGUCUCUAUCCCUCUCCGUGCGCGAGCAUCGCUCUCUCACUUUAUUCUAUCCACUUCAACUCCAUAUGCCAGGUAGGGUGUAAAUGAGGAGACGCAAAGUUGUGUGACUCUGUCCACUCAAUUCAGUCGCCCUUUACUAUUUUAUUCUAUCCAAUUCAAUUCCAGACGCCAACGCCAACAAGGACAUUAAAUUUGAAAAGAUAAAGUUGUGUGGCUCCGUCAACUCAAGCUAGUCGCUCUUCACUUUAUCAUAUCCAAACUCAAACUCCAAAUAUCACGGAGGGCGUAAAUAUAGAGAGGUAAAGUUGCGUGGCUUCAUCAACUCAACCCAGUCGCACCAGAGAAGCAAACCCUGCAGCCCAGAAAUCGUCCACAAGGGCAAAAGACCCCCAAUAUAGGACUAGCCAAGAUAUUAAUGCGCAAUUAGGCCCACAAAGAAUGGGAGAAGCCCAUAUUAGAUGAAACCAACUGACCACAGUGACAUUCUGCACACCCCGCCUGCCCGACUCGCAGCCGCCGGCAUUUUCCCGACCGUCAGAAGCUGCCGCCAGUGUAUCGAGGUUCGCCGAACGGUAUCGAUGUCUAAUGUAGAAUAAUAUUGCAUAAGAUAUCGGCGUAGCGUAUAAUUACACAUGUUUAGAUUUUUUUUGGAGAAAAAGGUAGCGCGCUAUCCGAUGGUAAGUAGUUGUUUCAUUUGGCUUAUUUUAACCUUCUCUUUAAUGGGAGUUGGAGGGCAACAUUUAUACGAAAACCAACCGCAUUAAUUUGCAGGUUGUAGGAAAUAUAUUAAAAGCAAACCAUAAGAUCUUCGUGAGCGGCACACGAACAAACAACGCAGCAAAUCAUUUUCAUUAAAUUUUGCAACUAAUUAGAUUAUUAGAUUAAAUGGAAUUUUUUACCCAACCUUUAAUGAUCCAUGUGCCAGAGAAAACUUUAUUAAUUCGGUAGAUUUAAAUAUAAGAAACAUCUAGGUAGCGUUUGGUUCGGAAAUAAGGAGGAGAAUAAGCCUUUGUUUCUCCCUUUAUUUUCAAACGCAGCGUUUGGUAUCCGAGAACAGUAGUUCUCGGGUUUCUGGAACUAGCUGGUAUAAGACUGGAACUGACUGGAACUGCUGUUCCAUCUCUUUCUUGGAACAAGCUUGUUCCCGAAUGAGUACAAGGUUAAUUAAAUCUAAAUUUAAAUUUUAAUGAUAGUAAAUUGUUAAUUAAUCUAAUUAAUAUAUUUGAAUUAUUAUCUAUCGCUUAAAUAAUAAAAUAAAUAAACAAAUAAUUAAUUAUUUAUAAUUAGAUAAUAAUAAUUAUUAGUUUAAUAAUUAUUAUUUCUUAAUAAUUAUUAAUUAAAUAAUAAUUAUUAAUAAUUAUUAUUCUUAAGAAAUAGAUAAUCGAUAUUAUUAUUAAUUUAUUAUUUAUAAUUAAUUAUUAAUAAUUAGAUAAUUAUUAUUUAUUAAUAAUGAUUUAUAAUUAAUUAUUAAUAAUUAGAUAAUUAUUAUUAAUUAAUUUAUUACUUAUAAAUAAUUAUUAAUUAAUUAAUAAUUAUUAAUAAUUUAUUAAUAAUUAAUUAAUUUAUUACUUAUAAAUAAUUAUAAAUAAUUAAUAAUAAUUAAUUAAUAAUAAUAAUUGAUAAUUAAUAAUUAAUUAUUAUUAUUAUUUAUAAUUAUUUAUUAAUAAUUUAUUUAUUAUUUAUUUUAAGUAAUAUUUUGAUGUUAAUUAAUUAGAUAAUAUAAUUUUAAUUUCAAAUUAUAACUUUUAUUCCUGUUGUUCCAAUUUAACCAUCCAAACGCUAUUUACCUUACUCCUAGGAACAACUUAAUUUUCAUCCAAACGCAAAAUUAAUCUAAUUCCUGCUUAUACCUAAACUUGUACCUAUUCCUGGAACAAGCAGUUUUUACUAAUACCUGAACCAAACGCAGUCCUAGAGAUUUCCAUAUGUACGCUAUUGGCACGAGUUAAGUGGCCAAUGAACACGGAGUAAACAUGUUUUUAGCACCACACAAAUCAAAAGGCUUUGAUUACCUAAAGUAUCAUUACACUGUUAGAAAAUGGAUUAAGAACCAGCUUAAUUAGCAUCAUUGAUGUAAAAAGUUAAAAGGUGCAGUAUAUAUAUAUAUAUCUAACGAAGCCCUAUAUGUAUAAUUUGUGCAAACAUUAAUAAUGUACCUACCAUACACUUAUCAAAAAAAAUAUCUCCUUGUCACGAUCAUGCUCCAAUUGUGGGGCAUUUUGUACAAACUGAACUUUCUACACUUGUCUGAUCCAUAAUAUAAGAGAACUACAUGCUUACAAUAGAAUAAUACUUAAAAAUAUGGCACAUUAGACUCUUCUAGACACUGGUGAUUAACUGUACCAUAGAUCUUUCCUCAAUUGUUCAUGUAUUUAUGUGGAAGGGCAAAAAUAAAUACAGAUAUAGGCAAGCACUUUCGAACAAUCAUCUAAAAACCAUCUAAUUAAUGGAUGUCUUAUUUCACCACACACAUAAACAGUAAAUUUCAUACGCGGUGUCAUUUGAUUGGACAACAGGAUUCGCGUAAUUUCGAGAAACAACUAUCUGUGUUGGCACACCUGUUACACAUUAUUGUUUGAUUGAACAUAGUAGAAGAAUGUUCACAAUCAGUGCUUGAUUGGAUGUACCAGAAUUUUUAGUGUUACUAAUUAAUUGGAUAGAAACAUAAUUUUUGCAAUUUCGCGGAACAAUUACUCACCACGGUGCUCCCAAACAGGCACAGAUCACAUGUAUUUAAGUUUUUAUGAGGCUUACAGCACAAAAUAACUAGGAAUUAAGGAGCUAAUUAAACAUUGUUAUUGAAAGUUAAAUAAAGAACUACAAGCUUAAUUGCACGUCUUAAUUAGAUUAAUUCUCACAAUUAGCUAUGAUCUGAUCUGAUCUCGCUUUAGUUUCUCUCCAACUACAUAAAUCAUGUGUUUCUUAAUUUAUCCCCAAUCUAAAGUUCAAAAAUUGUCAUCAUUCCAUGUAGCAUACGAGUAAGCACAGUUCGCGAUUUUUAACUAUUAUUAAUUUGCACAAAGCAAAGCUACAAAGCAAGAGUACCACUCCUUUUGCGUAGUCGCUGUUGCACUACGUACGUAGAAAAUACGUAAAAAAAAACCCCUCGCGUACGACGAAUAUUUACAACUACGUCCCUCCGACGAGCCUCUUUAUCCCCCGAGUAAGUAACCUCUCUCUAGUUUCUCUCUCUCUCUCUCUCUACUUUUUUUGGGGGGGGAANUGAUCUCGCUUUAGUUUCUCUCCAACUACAUAAAUCAUGUGUUUCUUAAUUUAUCCCCAAUCUAAAGUUCAAAAAUUGUCAUCAUUCCAUGUAGCAUACGAGUAAGCACAGUUCGCGAUUUUUAACUAUUAUUAAUUUGCACAAACCAAAGCUACAAAGCAAGAGUACCACUCCUUUUGCGUAGUCGCUGUUGCACUACGUACGUAGAAAAUACGUAAAAAAAAACCCCUCGCGUACGACGAAUAUUUACAACUACGUCCCUCCGACGAGCCUCUUUAUCCCCCGAGUAAGUAACCUCUCUCUAGUUUCUCUCUCUCUCUCUCUACUUUUUUUGGGGGGGAAGGGGGGAGGGGGGGAGGGGGUGUUUUCUCUCUCUAGAGGCAGAGGCUGAGGCUGAGCGCGGCUUUAACGUCGAGGCGCCACGUGUAGCAGCCCCCGUCCGAGCGCCACACGUCGCACGGCGCCGCGAGAGAGCCCCGACCCUUCCGGCGACACGCGUAGCGCACGCGCACGAGGCACGUGAACGCCCCACACGUGCCCCACUCCGGCACGUGCCCCUUCGUCACCAGCCCCACACGCACCUCCUCCUCCUCGUCGCCGUCGUCGUCGGCGGCGGCGUCGUCGUCGCCGGCGUCGUCGUCGCCGGCGUCGUCGUUGUCGGCGCCCGCGCUCUUUGCGGGGCCCACCACCAUCCUGCGGUAGGCCUCGUUGGUCCACGUCACCCGCUCCCACCGGUCCGACACGAACACCGGCGCCUCCUCGUCGUCCAGGGCGGGCCGCACCAGCUCCCGCGCGGCUCCCGCCUCCCCGUCGCGCCACGUGUCCACCACGCUCUCCACCGUCACCCACGACCCCGCCGGCCGCACCGGCCGCGGCACCACCACCUCCGCCGGCCGCGCCGCCGCCGCAGCCGCCGCCGCAGCCGCCGCCGCGGCGCGCAGCAGCCACCCCGGGAUCCCCUCCGGCGCCGGAUCCGGCGCCGCAGGGCCACCCCCCGCCUUCGCCGUCUCCGGCGACUCCGGCAUCAGCGGGAGCGUCACGAUCGCCGAGGUGUGCUCCGCCGAGGACGACGACGACGACGACCUCUCCUCCACCGUCGCCCUCCUCGGCCUCCGCCCCCUCCUCCCCCCCUCCCUCCCUCCGCCGCCGCCGCUCCCCUCCGGCGCCGCCGCAGGCGGAGGCGGCGCCGCCCCCCCACCCGCCGCGGGCUUCGGCGCGAUGGGCCGGAACCGCAGCAUUAUCCGGCCCACCCUCCACGCCACGUCAGCGUCCCCUCCGUACCUCGCGAUGCAACAACCCCCUCCUCUCCUAUCCAUCUCUCUCUCUCUCUCUCUCUCUCUCUGGCCCUCUUUACUUCUCUUUAUCCUUUUCACUCUCCCUCUCUCUCUCGAUCGCUCACUGCGGAGAACGAAGGGAGGGUUGCGUAGUGGGGUUUUAAAUACAGGGGGUGGUGGUGGACACGUGUCCGCGCCAGCACGUGUCGGGCGUGUCUGCUCCGCGGAGAUUGGCCAAUACGGACGCGUGGCGUCCAUCUGAUGCGGCAGCACGUGAAGGGCAGAGAUGGGAUUACGAUUAGGUACGGGGGUGGGGAAAAGAAGAAGGCGCCGUUGUCGGGGGGGAGGGGAGGGGGGAGAGAGAGAGAGAGAGAGAGAGAGAGAGAGAGAGAAAGCGCUGGCCAAUAGGGGAGCGCGGAGUGUACCCACUUUUGGCGCCAGGAGAGAACACGUACUCAGGGGCGCUCGAGCCUCGGAGAGCGCGACCGUGGGGCCCACUUUUAAAUACUAACCAUGCUUGCGCCCGGUGUACAUGUGGGCCCCAUGCACCGCGCCUCCGGUUUGGCGAUUAAUCUCAAUUCAUUCGAUAAUAUAAAUAAUAUUUUUAUAUAAAAUAAUUUUCUGGUUAUGAUUUUAUAUUAGUCCAAGACACAUAAAUAAAAGUUAAUUUACCCAUAUAAUAUAAUCAUAAGGGUUAAGACUUAAGAGGUGCGACUCAUUGCUAUAUUUAUACACCCGGUGCAUGCUAUAAUUUCGCCAUUGGGAGGUGGAGAUGUGGGGCCCACCUAAGAUGAGGUUUUUUUUUUUUUUUUUUUUUUUUUUUUUUUUGUUUGCUUUAUGCGGUAACGAGGGCGUCCAAUGAGGGGAACCGGUCCGAGACGAAAAGAGACACGUGGACCAAUGGGAGCGGGGGAAGGCGGCGUGGGUUGCUAUUAUUAGUGUCGAGGAGUAGGGGACGCGUGGACGCUGGGCGAUGGCGACGUGGAUCUCCGUGGAGAUUCGUGACGUCACCCCUCGUAACGGUUCCCGGGAGAUUGGCUUUUUCCUUCUGACGAAAAUGCCCUUGUGUACUUUUGAAUUUUCAAACGUACUAAGGGCUAUAGCCUAUAAGUGGCUGUUUGGUUUAUUUAAAAAAAAAAAAAUCAAAAAAGCAGUAUUAUCUGAUUCUUUUUUCCAAUUUUUUGCUCAUUUAUUUUAGAAAAAUUAGUUUCUUUUAAAAAUAGUUUUUUUAAAUUUCAUAGAAAAUUAAUCUUUUAAAUUUAAAAAAAUAAAAAAUGAAAACACUGAUUUGCCAUAAAUUUAGAAUUUGUUUCUAAAUUUAACAGAUGAAAAACUAAAAAAAAAAAUUUUAAUAAAACCCAAACACCCCUUAAGCUCCUUUGCUCACGCGACUCGAUCGGUUGCGACCCCCUAAACUCAAACAAAUUUAUCAAUUACACAACCAUUCUUAUCAGAUAUCAUGUGUAUAACUAUAUAAAUAUUUUAAAAUAUAAAAAAAGUCUAUUCUUUUUCUUUCAAUUUUGAUAAUUAAAUAUGACAAUUGUAGAAUAGGCUCUACCAAACUUUAGUUUGUAUUACUUUGUAUAAAUUAUACAAUAAGUUUUCCCUGCUUUAAAGUUUUAUAAGUUUAUAUAAAGGAACAUGGUCAAAACCAACUAUAUAAUUAGCAAUUUUAUUUGAAAAGAAGCGUUUAUGAAACUAUCUUGUAAAGUUUAGAAAUUUAUUUUCUAAAAUAAAUGUUCAAACAUCUGUUUGAAAAAGAGCUAAGGGUGUGUUUGGUUUCACGUAAAACUGUGUUUAGUGUUUAGUGUUUGGUUUGUAAGAAAAGAAAAAUAAUUUUUCAUGACGGUUGUUUGGUUGGAAGGAAAAGAAAAAUAGAUAAAACCUAUUUAAUAUAUUUUUAUUACAUAUAUAUUAUUAUUAUUAUAUAAUUAAUAUACUAUAUAUAUUAUUAUUAUAAUUUAUAUAUAUAUAUAUAUAUUAAAUAUAUUUAAAAUUAUAAUAAAUAUAUAUUUUAAAUAUAUAAGAGUUAUAUAUUUAAAAAUAUUAAUAAAUAAUUACAAAAUUAUAAAUGAAAUAUUAUAUGAUAAUAUUUCAAUAUAAAAAUAAAAUAAUAUAUAAAUAUAUAUUUAUAAAUAAAAUNGGUCUCCGUGCUACCAAGUUUUUUUCAAUUAUGCAGUUUUCAAAUCGACGAUCGGCUUCGUUAGACUUGAUCUACACUAUUAAAAGUAUUUGAAAAUUAAAUUUCAUAAUUUUUCGCCAUCAUUUAUCUAUCAAAUGAGUAGUCUAAAAAUGAACGGCUGAAAAUAAAAAUCUCAUAAAAAAUAAUGAUAAAAAACUUGAAUUUAAGAUCAGAGGUAUUGAUUUUACUCUAAAUAGUGAAAAGAAUUUUCUAUAAAUACUUCAUCAGAUUUUGAUUGUUUUACACCGUUAAAUUCACAAACGCAUCACAUCUAUCAUUAAAAUUGUUAAUUUUAAGACCUUUUGAUCACUAGCCAAAUGAUGUAAAAAAAUUAUAAAAUUUAGUUUUCAAAUACUUUUAAUAAUGUAGAUCAAGUCUAACGAAGCCGAUCGUCCAUUUGGAAGCCGCAUCAUUGGAAAAAUAAUUUGGUAACACGGAGGCCUUCGUGUUGUCGAUAGCCUACCAGCCUAGCUCUCUCUCUCUCUCUCUCUCUCUCUAUAUAUAUAUAUAUAAUGAGAGGGAGGUCCACUGUGGACCUCCGCUCAUGUGGUCCACGAGGCUGAAGCUGUCUCGUGGACCGCGCACGUCCGCUGCUCCCUUCCGCACCAAACGUCGCGCUUUUUCCUUCGCGCUUUUCGUUUUCCGUCGCUCCCCCGCGGAAAACAAAAUGGAGGAUUUUUUCCAAAUAUGUAAAACUAAGUUUCACCAAAAAUUUUAUUUACACCCAAUCAAACACUUGAAAAAUUAUUUUUCAACUGAAAAUUUGUUUUCAACCUAUUUUUACAUGGAACCAAACAUCGCCUAACAUUCAAAGGGAAACAACUUUUGUAUGCAUCGUUUAUAACUUAUUUCGCCAUCUUUAAAGAAGACAAAUAAAAAAUUAGCUUAGAUUUUAUAUUGAUAUAUUUUCUAAAGUUACUAGAAACCAAAAUCUAUGUGCUGUUAGGCAUAUCAUCAUCUUUUUAUAUUACACUUUUUUUUUUUUGACAUCUGCAUCAAACCAAAAAAAUAUUUACAUAAGGUGAUAGUUUUUCUUUUCUUUUCUUAUCUUUUAUGUUUUGAAAGGUAAAUGGUAGGUAAUAGCUAGUUUAAAAAUUAAAUAUGAUUCAAACAGAUUAAAAAUU